rnacentral:lncRNA from 1 species
CAUGUGAAAAUUACGUUUCUUCUGUGUUUAUUUGUAUAACCGUGGAACUAAAGUUUCUCAAGUUUUGUUAUUUGUUUUAUAAGAAGUGAAUAGUAUAAAAGCUAAAUGUAUGAGAGUAUUUUAUUAUUUCUUUCCUCCGCUUUUUUGUAAUCUACUUUAAAAAGUUUGAGUUUCGAUCGAAAAUGAAGUUACGAUAAAUGAAACAGCAAAAAUGGACAUUUAUGAUUGAAAAUUUCUUUUACUCUUUUUCACUUUCGAUAAGACAAACAUACCUUAGACGGUAGCAAAGUUAAUUACAAAAGAGGAAGAAAUUGAAAAAAUAAUAAAAAUUUAACUAUAAUUUUUUUAUCCUUUAUAUGCUAGUGUAAAAUUGUUUGAUGAAAUAAUAAAAAACAAAAUAACUACAAACAAACAAUGAUAAUAAAAUUAUACUUGAACUUGAGUUCAACUUAAAGUUCUUUUUAAUCUAAAAACUAAAAACAAGUAAAAAAACAAGGCCAAUUUGCAUCAAAAAUCCACUAGUUUUGCGCUUUUGCGAAAAUGGGCCACAUUUUUUAGUUUUGCAGAUUCGGGCUGAAUUUUUCAGCAAACUGACUAAAAUACCCUUUGUAUCUUUUUUUCUCUCCUCUUUUUUUUUUUCUCUCGUUCUUUUUUUCUUUCUCUUCCCAGAGAGCGGCGGAGGCGGAGGCGGAGGCGGAGGCGGAGGCGGAGGCGGAGGCGGAGGCGGCCCGCUUCGGUUUUGUCCGGCGCAUUCUUACCCUCGCCGGCGUACCCCCCACCUUCCUCGCCUCCAAUCUUGCCGAGGCCACGCUGUGACUUUUUUUUUUCCCCUCUCCGACCCUCCUCCACUGCCUCCGACGACGACGCUUAUCUUACCCUCUCUCGCCCUUCUCGCCCUUUCCCUCUCCCUGCUCCUUCGCCUCCUCCGCCGCCUCCGACGACGACGCCUCUCCGCCGACAUCGGCACCACGAAGGUUGCUACGGCACUGCAGCCUCGGACCGGGGGGUCUUUAGUAGCGUCGCCGCCGGCGCCGUGGUCGUUAGCGGAAAGAUGUAACAAAAAAAAUUACAGAAGAAGAAAAAAGAAAAGAAUAAAGACAAAAAAUUAUAUAAAAAGGAAGAAGAAAAUGAAAUUGCACUGUUAAAAUAAGAUUACACUGUUUUAAAAUAAAUUUGUACUAAUGAAAAUUACACUACUUGAUAUAGAAAUUACACUUUUUAAGAAUGGAUUUUACACUCUUUAGGCUAACGUUGCACUAUUUAGGAGAAUUUUGCACCAUUUUUUUUUCUUUUCUUUUUCUCUCUCUUUUUUUCUUCUUCUUCCGCUGUUGCCUCCCGCCCACCCGGGCCGAGGUCUCCUCUAGCUUCGAGGUUGCGUACGACCUCACCCCGCUUCGCAAUGUCCCGCCGCAUCCUCACGUGCUCCCGCUGUGAGAUCAGGAGCGCCUCCCCGUGCGAGGCUGAUUGUGCCGCCACUCUCCUGUAGACCUUGCCGCGGAGGUCGCCAGCAACGAUGGCGGCCUCGCCGUCCACGGCGACGGCAACAAAGUACCCGCUGGCGGGCUUCGGGGCCGCCAACUGUCCCGGAAGUCGCCGAGCUCGAGGAGGCUCCUGACAACAAGGGACCUCGCCCCGGGCGGGAGGCAGCACCGGAAGAAGAAGAAAAAGAGAAAGAGAAAGAGAAAAACAAAAGGAAAAGAAAUUGUGCAAAAUUCUUCUAAAUAAUGCAACGUUGGCUUAAAGGGUGUAAAAUUCAUUCCAAAAUAGUAUAAUUUUUAUAUCAAAUAGUGCAAUUUUCAUUAAAACAGUGCAAAUUUGUUUUAAAACAGUGUAAUCUUAUUUUAACAGUGCAAUUUCAUCUUCUUCUUCCUUGUUAUAUAAUUUUUUGUCAUCAUUUUUUUCUUCUUCCUUCUUUUAUAAUUUUUUUUGUCGCGUCUCUCCGCCAACGGCCACGGCGCCGGCGACGAUGUUGCUAAAGACCCCCCGCUCUGAGGCUGCGGCGCCGCAGCGACCUUUACGGCACCGAUGUCAGCAGAGAGGCGUCGUCGUCGGCGGCAGUGGAGGAAGCGAAGGAGCAGGGAAAGGGAAAGGGCGAAAAGGGUGAGAGAGGGUGAGAUAGGCGUCGUCGUCGGAGGCAGUGGAGGAGGGUCGGAGAGGGGGAAAAAAAAAAAGUCGCAGCGCUGCCUCGGCAGGGUCGAAAGCAAGGAAGGUGGGGGUUGCACGGGUGAGGGUAAGCAUGCGCCGGACAAAACCGAAGCGGGCCGGCCGCCUUCGCCCCCGCCUCGGCUGCUCUCUGGGAAGAGAAAGAAAAAAAAAACGAAAGAAAAAAAAAAAAGGAGAGAGAAAAAUAUACAAGAGUAUUUUGAUCAGUUUACUGAAAAUCCGGCCCGAAUAUGCAAAAUCGAAAAAGGUGGCUCACUUUUGCAAAAGCGCAAAACUAGUGAAUUUUUUAUGCAAAUUGGCAAAAAAAAAUCCUAAAGUUAUUUUAAUUUAAAACUAAAAAAACACUAUUCUAAAAUAGGACAUAGACAUACAUCUUUAGUAUCUUACACCUUUUUAUCUUAAGUCUAGAAAAAUUAUUGGAUUUUUAGUUAAAAAAAAAAAAAAAACUUGACAAGACAAGGGCCCAUUCUUAACCGUUGGAUGAGGGAGUUUAAUAAAUUUCCAACCCUAUUUAUUUAAAUAAUUUAAAGUUUAGAAAUGUAAAUGCGAAGUGGUAUUAUGAGGGUCUCCGUACAUUUUUCACCAUAAAACCCGCAAAUUCUAGGGCUGUCGACCCCUCUUCUAGGGUUUACGCCGCGCUUGUUUCCGAACAUCGAACCACCGCAACAAUGGUGAUCCCUCCUCUCUCUCCCCUUCUUCUUCUUCCUCCUCUUCUUCUUUAUCUUGUUCUAAUCUUAUCUUGGAUUUCCCCUCCGUAGCCGUCCCACAAGACCUUCAAGAUCAAGAAGAAGCUGGCGAAGAAGAUGCGUCAAAAUCGCCCUAUCCCUCACUGGAUCCGCAUGCGCACCGAUAACACCAUCAGGUAAUUUUUGGGUCUCUCUCUCUCUCUCCCUCUCUCUCUCUAUGAGUGUUUUGAUCUCUAAUUGGCAUGAUUUUGGUGUUUCUCAGGUAUAAUGCGAAGCGGAGGCACUGGCGACGCACGAAGUUAGGGUUUUGAGGUCUCCAUGGGUGAUUCUUCCCUCUUUCCUAUGCGUAAAACUAGGGUUUUUGGUUGCUUUGACUAGCUUCUUGAAUCCAAGUGUCUAAAUCUGGUACCAAGGAAAAGUUGAAUUUAAAAUAUUCUGAUGACAAUGAGCGCAGGAUGUAUGAUGCUAUUUUGAGUUAUUAUUUGGAUCUAAAGAAAUUAAUCUUUCUUUCGAAAUGAAUUGGUGAUCUUGUGAGCUUUAUAUGUGAUAUUAUGUCUUUCUGGAAGUAUAUAUUGCAUAUAUAUAGUAACUUGUCUACUGCGCGAGCACCACUUAAUUCCUCUUUGUGAACUCUGAACCUGUUUGAUUCUGGGAUUUUGCGUGCAAUGGGUUGCUUUAACAGCAAUAGCUGAGUACGUAAUCCUUUCUUAAACGAUAGUAUCAACAUUAUGGUGUAUUUUAUUAUCAAGAGGCGUGCUUAGAAUGCAAUAUCAGAUUAGGUCAUCAACCUUGUAAGAUAUAGUUGGUCUUAGCAGUUAGUUUAGUAUUGCUCAUACGAAACUGUAAGUCAUAAUUGUGUAUCUUAUUUACGUAAGAGACAAUGAAGAUCAAAAGGCCCAUGAGGAAGCUGAUACGGGAUUGAUUUGUAUCAAAGAUUAUUUUGAAUUGGUCAGUUUGCCAACUGAUGAUGGAUUGGCUGUGAAAAGAUAUGAAAUGACAAAUGUUGGCUAAUUAUAUGGUCUAGCAACUAUAUUUCCAUGUUGGGAGCAUGUGAAAAGGUUACAUAAACUGGAGGAAUUAUUGCAUGCGUAGUUGUGUAUGCAAUGUGGUCUUUAACACUUAGGGUUUGUUUGGUUCAAGGGUGGAAUUGGAAUGGAUAAUGUAAUGGGAAUGAAUUAGAAUGGUAAUUGGAAUGGUCCACUCCCCCAAGACGUUUGGUUCAUUUGUGGAUUGAAAAUUGGAAUGAGUUAUUCCCAUUCCAUUGUUUGGUUCAUACAAAUUAAAAAAUUAUAGAAUACCAUAAUACUAAUUUAACUCUCAAAUAUAAUUUUAUAUUAUUUAAAAUUUAUGAAAAAUUUAAUACUAUUCUCUAAUGAGUUUUCCAAAAAAAAAUAUCAAAUUUAUUUUUAAAAACUUUUAUGCAAGAAAAAAAUUAUAAAAAUCUAGGAAUACUAAUAAUUUCCCCUUAAAGCAUAAUUUCCCCUUCAAAUUUAGUAGUUUACCCAAAAAAUAAUAAUAAUUAAAAAAAGUGGACAUGGAAAAGUAAAUGGAAAUUACAUAACCAUGCGCACUUCACAACAAGGUCACAAAAAUCUACCAACAAAAGCACGAUCUUUUCGAUUUACAUUAACAAUUCACACUGUAAUCAAACGGAUCCACCACUCGAAACCCUCCUAGAAACGCUAAUCGCACCAAGAAGUAAGUAGAUCGGAGACGAAUCUACAAGCAAUGGCGAGUAAAGAUCCAAUCGGAUCGGGCCUCACCUCGUCGCCACGCCGUUGCACCAACUCGCCGUGCCGCCCCGUCUUGCUGUCGUGCUGCCGAGUCUCGCCGCCACGCUGCCCUAUGCCGCCGCCGUGCCGCGUUCGCAGUACCGCUAAGGUUAGGGAUAGGGUUUUGAGAGGGGUAAGAGGGGUGAGGGAUAGGGUUUUUUUUUUUUGUUUGAUGAGAGGGGUGAGAGAUUGUAUACAGAGAGAGGAGGGUGAGAUGGUCUCAUGGGCUUCAGGACUUGGUGGGCUUCGGGAAUGAAAUCUCAAUUCGGGCUUGGAGUCCGGAAUCAAGUUGAAUGCUGAUGGGCCAUUCCCAUUCCAGUCCGGAAUAGGAAUCCCAAACCGAUUCCUGUGAACCAAACAAAAUUAAUCGGAUUUGAUCAAAUCGAUUCCCAUUCCAUAUCCCAAAUAAAUGAACUAAACAAGCCGUUUGGUUCAAGGGUGGAAUUGGAAUGGAUAAUGGAAUAGGAAUGAAUUGGAAUGGUAAUUGGAAUGGCCCACUCCCUCAAGACGUUUGGUUUAUUUGUGGAUUGGGAAUUGGAAUGAGUUAUUCACAUUUCAUUGUUUGGUUGGUAUAAACUAAAAAUAUUAUAGGAUACUAUAAUACUAAUUUUACUCUCAAAUAUAAAUUUAUAUUAUUUAAAAUUUAUGAAAAAUAUAAUACUAUUCUCUAAUAAGUUUUCCAAAAAAAAUAUCAAAUUUAUUUUUAAAAACUUUUAUUGAUGUGGGUUAGGGAUAGGGUUUUGAGAGAGGAUAGGUUUUUUUUUUUUGAUGAGAAAGGGGUGAAGAGAAGGAGGGUGAGAUGGUCACAUGGGCUUCGAGAACUUAGUGGGCUUCCGGAAUGAAAUCUCAAUCCGGGCUAGAAGACCGGAAUCAAGUUGAAGGCUAAUGGGCCAUUCUCAUUCCAGUCCGGAAUAGGAAUCCUAAACCGAUUCAUGCGAACCAAACAAAAUUAACAGGAUUUGAUCAAACCGAUUCCCAUUCCAUACCCAAAUUGGAUGAACCAAACAAGCCCUUAAAGGCUAGAGGCUCCAAAAGCUAGGUAUAGACCGAUAGAUGUGAUCUAUAGCUUCUAAAGUACACUAUGUCUGAUACAGUAUAAUUAUGUACAAACUUAUUAAUUAGGUAUCAAGUAGUUCUCAAUGCUGUUAAAAGAAAGUCCUUUGUUUGCCGAACGAAAAAAAGUUAUUAAAAAAUUAUAAUUUUACAAAAUAGGCCUUUUAAGAGCUGUAGAUUACAUCCAACAGUUUAGCUGUGGAUUUCAACACGUCUAGCUGUGAGCUUUCGAUAUGCUUGCUAUAUGCAAUAAUUUCGCCAAAAUCAGAGUCGAGGUUGGGACCUCGUUGUAUGUUGAAUUUGCUACCUGAUAUUUCCAAAUUUAUUUGUUCACUACUUUGUCCAAAUUUCUAGAUGGAUAGUUGAAAAUGAUCGGAGUUGAACCGAUAAUGUACACCUAAUUAUAGAUUUAUAGGUACAACCUCAUAGAUGUAUACAGUUGGUUAUUUCCUUUUCAUAGAAUGAUGAUUUGUUACAAACUUCCACGAAGAGAUGAAAAGUCUAUGUAAGGACGUAAGAUUAAGAGCAAAUUUACUUGCACUGCCCCAUUAGAAUCCUUUGGCUUCUCAGAUGAGGCUUAUGAUCCAAUUUAGCAAAUUAUUGAAGUAUUUGGUGUGAAUAAAAGAGGCAUUCUUCUGCAGAUUUUAGACGACAAUAUCCAUUUAGGAAGGUUUUUGGAAGAAUUCUUUAUAGUACGAAGAUUAGUAUGAAUGCUGUGGUGGACGAUCUUCGUUUUGAAUGCGCUUCGGCCUUGGCCUCAUAGAUAUCUAUGAGAUUCAAGCUCCCUUACAUCCAUGCGGGUUAUUUUCCGCCUAGUAUCUCAGAAAUGGAUUAUUUAUGUUGCAUGUUUUCUGAUUAGGUAUAAAUAUGAGCUCUAACUGAGAUUUCGAGGUUAUCAAGAAAAAACUUCAUAUCUGUUUAGAUGAUAUCUUAUAAGAUGGAGUGAUAAUUAUUUGUUGGAUAGAGAACUGCCACUGUAUAGGAAACUUCAUUUUUAACAGUUUGUUGUCAUCUCGUGCCAUCUUGCUAACAUGAGUGAAACGAACACAUACACCCUAGUUUUGGAUUGUCGAGGAUGGUUGUUAUGAAGUUACGAGUAGCUUUCUGAAAGUUUAUGAUCGGUCGCUUGCAUUUUUUUCUCACAUACAUGUAACAAGAAGAGUAUUGGUGCAGAAAUUUUAGCAAUAGAAACAUAGGGAUAGAAUCGUCGCCAUUACGGUGAUGAAUGUAGGAUAGUCAACUGAACUUUAAUCAUGGAGCCGGUGCUUCACGAGGAAUUCGAACCAGCUAAUAGAAACUUAGCAAAAUCAAUAAUGAUGUUUCCUUAAUUGACACAUAUCAUGCAUACUCAAACUAAACACGAUCAUUGAUGAUGUUUCCUUAAUUAACACAUAUUAUGCAUGGUCAAAUAUGCGGGGAUUCUAGUACUUCCUGAAUGUAAUUUUCGUAUUCUUUGCUCGAUGGUUGUUUUAAUACUUGAAUUUAGGUCAGAAUGCUGAAAAGAGAAGUAAAAAUGAUAAAUGUACAGCACGAUUUGAUAUUUUUGGGAAGUGUGUGAGUUUGAAGUAUAAUGGUAUCAUGCCCUUAGACCGCCAUUGGGUCGGCUUGGGCACGAGCCACAGACCAAUCUUGAUGAAUUAUACAUGAUAUAGAUACAUGAAGUAUCAAAAUGUAAUACUACUAAAGCUAAACGAAACCAUUACAACUUUCAUUUUUUAAAGUUUACCACACUUAUUUGUAUCCAAAAUAGUACACUUUUUCUGGGUACACAUUAGACAUCUUGCUUGGUCUAACUUCUUUUCGACACCCUUACCACGGUCUCGUGCCUCUUUGCGGGAAGUGGUAUUCAUUUGGUCCAGGAAGCAUAAGUAGAUAAUGAUAAAUAACGACAUCUAUUGCUACUAUAGAUAUGGAGGAAUUGAAAUACCACUACAAUGCGUCAAUAAGUACAAUAUGCUAUGAUAGUUGUUAUGUCGUUAGCCUACACAUAAAUCGCAUUUCAUUCUCCAACUUUAGCCUAUACAUAAAUCAUAUUUCAUUUUCCAACUUUAACACCUCAUGGAGAGUAGAUUGUUCUCCAACUCCUCUUCAAUCAGUAGGUAAAUGGGGUUGAUUGCUCAUGGAGAAUAAAUUGUUUUCGAACUUCUCUUUAAUCAUUAGGUACAUGGAGGGGUUGAUUGCUCACGAAGAAUAGAUUGUGUUUUUGAACUUCUCUUCAAUCAUUAGGUAAAUGGGGGGUUGAUUGCUCGUGGAGAAUAGAUUGUUUUCGAACUUCUCUUCAAUCAUUAGGUAAAUGGGGUUAAUUUUUCUCGGACUCUUCCAAAUAUCUCAUACCUUGACACUUUUGAAAGGUCGUACAUUUUACACCAUUUCACUCUAAGUUCAUAACUUUUAGGAUUAUCGAUAUUGUCUAACAUACAAAUACUUUCUCUAGUUCAAGUUUAUCGAGAGUUCACUUGCCACUAAGGACAUGUUUGGUUCAUGAUUGAAAUAGAAGUGGGAAAUUAAAUUAGAUUGCUUUGGAAUGGAAAAUGAAAUGACGAAUCAUCCAAAAAUGUUUGGUUCAUUAUUGGAAUGGAAAUCAGAAUGAAAAUUUAAAAUUUUUGAGAGAGGGUUUUGAUUAAGAGAGAGGAAAGUGAUAAAGAAAGAGGAGGUAGGUGUUGAUGAAAGAGGAUUUUGAAUAGUAUACUUUGGAAUGAGCUAUUCCGGAAUUCAAAGCCGGAUUGGAUCAUAAAUGAAUUCAGCCAUUCCCACUCCGGAGUGGAAUGGGAAUCGGAAUCCGAUUCCUAUAAACAAACGGCAACUAUCGGAAUCAAUGAAUUCCAUUCCGAUUCCAUAAUCUAAAAUAGAUGAACCAAACAUGCCUUGAGUUCUUGCCUUAGAAAACCUAGAUAACAUAUCACUCUUGUUUUCUAUGUUCAAGAUUCACAUGCAUGUCACCCAUUUUACUCUUUUGUCGUACAUACGGAUUUCAGUUAGAAAUCUUUGUUUUUUUUUAGGUCAAAUGCUAAGAUGACAUCUUGACACAUAUGAUCUACUAGUAUGCAAUUAGAAUAUAUUUACCUUACAUUGUACAUAUGAUACAUGUAUAAAAUUAAAGAAAUGUUAGACUAAGGAGUGAUCAAAUUGUUAGAACAAAUACCGUAACGAAAAUUUGAUUGUGAUUAAAAUCUAACUAAUUUAUAAUAAAGAUAAAUAAAUCAACAUACAGAUGACGCAAAUAUUCCAAUAAAGAUUUGAUCUUAUCCGGAAGCGUGCGAGGCACUGCCCUAAGACGUAUUUCCGUCCUUACAUGCGGAAUUAAUCGAAAAUAACACCCCAAGGUACGAUCGAAAUUCCUCCUCCUGCGAGCACGAUCAUAAAGAAAGUUGACGAAGAUUCUCAAAGUGGAUAAAAAAUGGAAUAUUCAAAAAUAAAGAUUAAUCAAUUAUCUAAUAUCUUUUGUACCUAUUGUUUUAUUCUAUCUGAAAACAGAGGAGGAAAAGAGAGGAUCUUCUGUACCUACUGUUUUAUUCUAUCUGAAAACAGAGAGAGGAAAAGAGAAACGGGAUUUAACGCCCUUUUUCGUUACGAGAAAAAGGCGUAUUCCGCGCAACGGAAUGAGAUUCCGUUGAGGCAAGAAACGGACCAAGAAACUGAACGAGAAAAAUAUCCCGUUAAUUUCUUUCUCAUUAAAAAACAUAAUAAAAUAAUUAAAUAAAAUAAAAUAAAUAAAAUAAUAAAUAAUAAAACAUCAAAGUUCAAAUAAAAUAAAUUCAAACUCAAAAUUUUGAGUUUUCACCAACACAAAUAUAUUUCGGUGAUAUUUUCAAUCUUUGCUUGAUUCUUUGCAAAUUCACCAAGGAAAUCCUAUCAUCUUCUAGCAAGCAAAGUGUAGAUGAGAAGGGCUUCUUCUCUUUUCUAGAGCUUUUUCUUGAAGCUCCCGACUUUCCCUAAUCCAAAUACGGAUCUGUAAGUUCCAACAAAGAGGGAAUCAGACGCUUGAUUGUUUAAUCCAUCGCACGAGGGAUGCUCUCGGGUUGAGCGCCCGACUGGUGUAUCAGACAUCUCCAAUUUUCUAAUUUAGUUUUAAAAAUUUUAGAUUUUUAGUUUAAAAUUAAAAUAAUUGCACGAUUAGUUUCCACACUUCUCACUUUUUUCACUUUGGCUCUUUAAAAAAUCAGAUAGGUGCUUGUCUCGUGCUCAUCUUGCGCUAAUGUGGUGAAUUUUGUGAAUUUAAUGGCCCUUUUAACGGCGGGGAUUUAACUGCAAAGAAAUAAAAAGGUGGGGGGCUUGAUUGCAAGAAUAAAAAAGUGUAGGACUUAAGUAAAAAAAAGUGAGACGGUGUGAGACUAGUAAUACAAUUAAUUCAAAAUUUUUUUUACAUAAAAAGCACUUUUUCUUCUAAAUUAUGUUUUCUAUAUUUUUACAUCCAACUACACUUCCAAAUAGUGAUAUUUAGACUUACUAGCAUUUAAUAUCAGCAUGUCAAUCAUGCUUGGAGAAACAUUUAGUUAAAAUAAAAUUUCCUAAAUUGUUUGUUUUUUAUUAUAUAUUAACUCUCAAAGAUCUCUUAUAAUUAAAUAACUUAAAUUGCACUUGCAUAUUAUUUUGAUAUAAAAUAUUUGUUCUACUAUAAAACUUGUAAGUAUAAAAAUUUAACAUGUUUGAGAACAAUAUAAACUUAAAAAGGGAAAUUUGUAAAAAUAUGUAAAUAUAUAUAAAGACUCAUUCAACUAUAAAUUAUUUUGAAAUAAGAAUUGAACUUUUCUUUUUCAGUUGACCUCUAUCAAAUUUUAUUUAUUUUUAUUUAAUUUAAUUUUAUUUAAUUAUAUUGAUAAAUUUGUUAAAAGUUAAUAUCUCUAUUAGCUGUCGGUCAUUAUUAUUAUUAUUUUUUUUGCUAAAAUUUACUUAGAGAAAUGAAACUUUAAAAAAUUACUUGAUUAAUUUAGCAAAAUCUCUAAUAUAUUUAGGUAAAAUAUAGAAAACAAACUAAUUUAGAUAAAGUUUAAUUAAAAUGCUAUUUCAAAAAGAUGAAGUUGAGAGGUAUCCAUAUUAUUUUAUUUUUAUUUAUUAUUAGACUUAAAAUUUCUCGUUUUCAACAAAUGAAAUAAAUGUAAGUACACCAAUAAUACAAGUAGGUUGACAACUGAUUGAAUAAGAAUAAUGAUAAUAUUUAUAUUAUAUAUAAUACUAGUUAAUGGACCCGUGCGAUGCUGUGGGUAGUUAUUUUAAAAUUUAAUCUUUAAAAUUAGUUAUAAAAAUUAAUUUAGAAUGAUUAUGGAAUAUUACGGAUAAAUUAUGGAACAAUUUUAAAUAAAUGCAGCUAUCUUCUCCAACAUAGAAAAUAUAAGGAGCUCUCUCAACAAUAAGCUAUUUUAAAAUAAUUCUUCAAUUUUAUUAAAUAUUUUCUUAUCUUAUUCUCUUUUGUUUGCUUUUAUAUUACUAAUUUUGUAAUGUUAUUUAUGUUAUUUCUAAUCUUUUGAGGAAUACAAAUGAAAUUAUCUUAUGCUAAUUAUUCCAAACAUGGCCACUUGUCUAAGGAAUAAAUAGUGCAAUGAGCACAUUCAAAAUUUUUAGUAGUCAUGAUAGUCUUCCAUUCGUUAGUGAAAUGAGAAGAGAAAUCUUUUCUUGCAUUGUGUACUAAUGUUUUAGUUAGUAUAUUUCAUAUGCUUCUCGCAACUAUUUAAAAUUAAUAUCAACAGUCUAAACUAUUUAAUAAUUAUUUAUAUAUUUUUAAUUUUAUAAUAAAAAAAGACUAAAGUAGAUUGGAAAUUAAAAAAAAAUUUUAAUUUAAUGUUAAAUAGAAAAAUUUAAUGCUCAAAAGAAAAAAAAGAUCCACAUGCCUGCUUUCAAUUGUUUAGGUCGAGAGAUUAUUUUGGUAUAAAUCUUGAUAAUACUUUAGUAUUACAAAAAUAUUCCAGAGAUUUUUUUAUGCUUUUUUUUUGACUCAUUUAAUGUCAUAUGAAAAAUAAAGAAAAAGGCUUUUCUGUAUUAGCGAAUCCCUCUCCCAUGGCUGGACCCCACUCGCACCGCUGCAACGGGGCCCACCAUGCGNGCCCGCCCCUGCUGUAGUGUUCCUGAGUUUUGGAUAGGAUUGGCUUCAGUAUUAGUGACUGGUCGACAUCUCUGGAGAGUGUCGGACUGAGUCGGAGUCAAUUCUGCACGAAUUGGAUGCAGAAUUGGACUCGGCGCACUCAAAUAAGCAAAACUGGAGUUUUGCCAGAUUCGGGCGCCCAGAAUAUGGUUUAGGUCGCCCAGAACUGAGUGUUAAAUUUAACUGAAACUGGAGCCAAUUCGGAUCCUAUGUUCCGGGCGCCCAGAAGUAGGUCCGGAAAUUUUACAUCGUGAAUAUCGUUUGCUUCGACGCGUGGCAGGGUGGUAGGUGAGGUCCACCGGAGCCGUUUACGGGCGCAGCACACCGCGAGCGGAGAAUCCGAGGAGGAUGAUUUGUGCAUCCUGGAUGUUUCGGUCGCCCAGAACAUGGUUCCGGGCGCCCAGAAACGCCCGUUUCUGCAGGGACACUAGAUUGCAGCUGCUUUUCUUAGGACUUAUUUUAUCCUUCCAGCAGCCUAUAAAUAGAUGGAGGGUGACCCUGGUGAGCUCUUUUCAGUCCAUCUUCACAGUGAACCCUUGGAUUUCAUCUUCUACCCUCGAAUUUUCAUAAAUUGCUUCAAAAUCCACAACUCCAAGCUUGAUAGGUGAUGAUUCUGCAGUUCUUCAACGACGACCUUCAGUGUUUUGGCUCGUACGCGACGUAGGAAGGUCGGAUCGCGGCGAAACUUGGUUUGCUGGAUUCUAGACUUCCUGAGGAAUCCACGAAGUCCUAAAUUGCAUAAUUUGGUUGAGGUUAGCUUGGUCGAACAUAAGUUUUACUCUGCUGCUAUUGUAUUUGGACAGAAUUGUGGGUUUUUGAAUUGUUCUUGAUGCUAUCUUUGGAAGCAAUGGGGUGUUGGACCUAAGGCACAUCCUCCAUCAUCAUCCACUGGAUUUGGGACUGUCCUCACCUAAAUUGGAGACCUUUAGGUGAGUUUUGAUAUUGGAGUUAAGAUAAUUAAGCUUAAGUGCUGAAAUUUUGGUGAAUUGAUGAAUUUUGAUGGAUUUUGGGUGUAGAUCUUUCGAGUAACUUGGUUGCUGGUUGUGGGUGAUUGCAGCUGAGACUUCCUGCAAUUGUGGCAUUCUUGCUGCCAGGGAAUUGCUCUUGAGGUGGGUUUGCAUCGGAUUACUUCUAAGUAAUAAGUAGAUGUAUAGUCGACAUGUAUGUUUUGUUGUUUGGUCUACAAUGUAAUUAGAUUAAAUUCAGUGAUAAGCUGUGGCUGUAACCUAAAUUUAAGCAUGCUAAAUAAGUGACAUUUACACAUGUUGGACUUGAAAAAUUGACUUAGGAGAAAACCUGCGUUUUGACCCGUCAUAUGGUUAAACUACCAGAUUUAGUUCUAGGAGCCGUGGUUUGACUGUAUCGUUGCAGUAUUAGUGCGAUGGAUAUCUGGGGUAGUUUAGAAGGCAUUUACGCUCGUGCUGGGGUGCCGAGCUUAUUUUUCAGCAGAGUCUAGGCUGUUUCGGGUCGUUGGGUGCCGUCCGGGUUGGCGGUGGACCCAGAUUCUUGUUUUGGUUCCAGAUUGUGCUGAGGGCACGUGGGUUUGGUUUGUAGACCUGUUUUGACCCUGUUUACAUGACUUUGGCUAGUUGGAGCCUGUUUGAGCUCGACAGAAAUACGCUGCAUACUCGGUUGGGUAGCUCCCACAAGUGCCACUCCGGAGGCGGGCGCUGUGCUUUUGCAUUGGUGUCGUGCAUGCCAGUUAGACUUGCUCUCCACAGACUGAUUAGUGUGGAGGUAGCUGGAUAGUCUCAACUGGGCGGAGCAGGUGUGUUCACAGUCCCUGGGACUGGUAUGUUUACAGUCCCUAGAUAGAUUGGGUCAGGUUUGACACUGCUACAGUAGGUCGGCAUAGAACAUGAUGGUAUAAUAAAUGGUAGCUGUAGAUUUUUAUUCCAGCAUUUAUUACUACCUUUGUUCCCUUCUGUAGACUUAGUGGGUGGACCGAUGUUGUUGAAGGCGGCACCCACUGAGGACUACUUGUUUUACAGUAGUUCUCACGCCCUGUUGUUACCCCUUUCUUGCAGAGCCAUUGUCUUCGGCUGCUGCUGUUACUGAUCAGAAUCGAGGCAAGGGCGUCGCAAGUUAGAGCCCUACCUGACGAGCCGAGCUAGAGGUGCCCCUACAGCAGGUAAUUGUUUUUGUUGGAGUUCAUGUACAUACAUAUAUUUAACUCGCCAGUGCGAGUAGUUUUGUAUCUUGGAUUUGGCGUAUGUAUAUGGAACUCGGUUUGUUUUAUUUUUACUAAUUCUUCUAGCAGCUCUAUACUACUGUUUGUAGUAUUGUAUGAUUUACAGGUACAGCUAUCACUUCGUAUACAGAAAAAAUUUCUUUGUAUACGGCGGAUUAGUCGGCGCGCCCGGGGAACGAGUAACCCGGGGCGUGACACCUGAGACGGCGCCCGCCCUCGCACGCUCGCGUCUGCGCCAGCGCUGGAGCUUGCCCCCGCGCCCGCGCCCGGGCCUCCUCCCUUGGCCGGCGCUAGUGUCUGCGGCCACUCGCCCCUCGCGCCCUCGCCCGCGCCUCCGCCUCCCGCUGCCACAUGUGCAGUUAUUGAGGAAUAAUAAGUCUAUAUAGAAAUAGAUAGUCUCCAAAUACUUCAAAGCAUUUUUGGUUCUCUCCAAUAUCUCAUACUUCAAAGCAUUUUUGGGUGGAGAGUUUUUUUUUUUUUUUUUUUUUUUUUGCUCACUUCUCACGCAUACUUUUUUCACACUACUGAUUUUCUAGGUAAAGUUAUAUAUGCCAUAAAAUUUUACAAACUACCUUAGGUCACAUCAGAUGGAUGCUAAGUAUGUUUCACCUAACCAAACUUUAUACAUGUGAUAUUGGAGAAAUCAUGCUAAAUGUUUCUCAUCCUAAAUGAUCGAAUGCUAAGUAUGUUUUACCUGACCAAACUUCAUACCUUAGUUAGUUAAUUCGCAAAUUAUUCAUAAAUUAUUAAAAAUCUAAAUAAAACAAUCUGUAUGCAAUUUAUUUUCAAAAAAUCGGAAUAAAACGUGACUUUUUUUGUUAGAUUUAUUAUUCGCGAAUAAUUUGCGUAUGCCGAACUAUUCGGCCAAACAAAACGAGCAAAAUUUUUGGAUAAAAUUAAUUUCCGAAUUAUUUCCAAAUUAUUGCCGAUUUAUUUGCGAAUUAUUUGUGAAUUGUUGAAAAAUUUUAUGAACAUUCGGAAUAUAUGGAUUAUGAAAAAAAUAAAGAUAAAGACGACAAUAAACUGUGCUAUUUUUUUUUUACUUAAUUUAUUUUAUUUUAUAGCUUUUUAUUUUUAUAUUUUUAAGAAUUUAUAACUAUAUAUGCUAGUAACAUAAAUCUAGAGAAAAAAGUUUAGUUUAAUAGCCGAAUUUUUUAUUCCGAAUUUUUACUUAGUGAAAGCAUAGUUUCCGUAUAAAUCAUGUAUCCGAAUAAUUGGCGAACCCAUUUUUUAAACUGUAUUUUUCAACAAAUUUAAAAAUUGAGAUGCAAAUUUUAUUCUAAUUAUAUCCGUACCGAAUUUUUGCCGGAUUCAAAUUAACUAACUAUGCUUCAUAAGUGUGAUGUUGGAGAAAUCAAGCUUAAAUGAAUAGCUUCGUAGUACCUCAAUCCUCAAUUCCUUUUCAUUUCUAAAGCAAGUGGUUAGGACUUUGGUGGCUGAUAACUAAGGUUUUAAGUUCGAAGCCAAAUUGUUUCACAUUUUCAACCAAAUUUUUUUCAUAAAAAUAUUAAUGAAUCAGGUAGCAUGCUAUCAUUGCUUUAAUUUUAGCUAUUCCUGUCAAUUAACCUAGACGUUUUCUUCAGUUAAAAAUAUUUAUUAAUUAUAUGCUAUCUAUCUUAAAAAAAAAACCAAUCUAUUGUUUCUUUAGUUUAAUUAUUUGUAACUCACUGUACCUAGUGUAAAUGGCAAAGGCCCUGAUGGUUGGUAUUCGAGAUCCCAAGUUCGAAGCCUAGUUGUUUCACAUUUCCAGCCAAGUUUAUUUCGACCUCAAAAAGCAUCUUCAUAUAUUUUUUACCUUUAAAAAAUAUAAAAUAAACCUUAAACUAAGAGAACGAUUUUUUUUGAAUAUUUACAUUAAACAACUUUUGUAUGAUGCGAGUAAAUACGUAAAUUUGUGUGUAUACUUCUCAUAAUCUAUAAUUUAUAUUUGUUCUUUUAGAAAUACCUUAUAUUAUUUCCAUCUCUCAAGCUGUAUUUUAUAUCACAUAGCUUUUUUUUAAUGGCAUUUUUUCACACUGAAAAGGUGAAAAAAGAUAGAGACUCCUCAUCAUAAAUACAAGUCAAAAUAAUCGAAGUGGUAUAAACAAAAAUAUGAACUACUUACUAUAGGUACAGAGACAAAUUAUAACUUAAAACCCCAUCCAAUACAUAAUCCACCUNUACGCAUCCAAAUAUGAACUACUUACUAUAGGUACAGAGACAAAUUAUAACUUAAAACCCCAUCCAAUACAUAAUCCACCUAUAUAUACUAGUCUGAAUGAAUUGAUUUAUCAAACAUGUUGUGUACUUUAGUUUCUUACAUAAGAAAUAAAAAUCGCUAUUUCUAUAUUAAGUUCCUAUUUGGAUGCGUAAACAUCUUAUUUAGGAUAUUUAUUUGAUUUACUCGAUAAGCAUAUAGUAUUUAAUAGAUAGGUAGGUUGAUCAAAUGUCUACAAUAAAUAUCAUAUUCAAUAUUCAAAUAAUUUUAUUAAGAUGAAAUAUGUUUUUCUACUAAAUUAUGAGUAAAAAUGAUAAAUGUACAGCAGGAUUUGAUAUUUCUGGGAAGAGUGCAAGUUUGAAGUAUAAUGGUAUCACACCCUUAGACCGCCAUUGGGUCCGCUUGGGCACAAGCAACAGACCAAUACGUAGAAAUUAUGCAUGAUAUAGAUACAUAAAGUAUCAAAAUGUAAUACUAUUAAAACUAAAUGAAACCAUUACAACUUCAAUAUUUUAAAGUUUACAACACUUAUUUUUAUUCAAAAUACUACACUGUUCUUUUGGGUACACACUAGACAUCUUACUCGGUCUAACUGUUUUUCGACGCCCUUGCCACGGUCCCUGCCUCUCUGCCGAAAGUGAUAUUCAUUUGGUCCAAGAAGCAUUCGUAGAUAAUGAUAAAUAAGGACAUCUAUUGGUACUAUAGAAAUGCAGGAAUUAAAAUACCACUACGAUGCGGUAUGUCAUUAUCCUAUACAUAAAUCGAAUUUCAUUUUUCAGCUUUAACACCUCAUGGAGAGUAGAUUGUUCUCGAACUCCUCUUCAAUUAGUAGGUAAAUGGGGUUGAUUGCUCAUGGAGAAUAGAUUGUUUUCAAAUUUCUCUUCAAUCAUUUAGUAAAUGGGACUGAUUGUUCUCGGACUCUUCCAAGUAUCUCAUACCUUGACACUUCCGGAAGGUUGUACGUUUUAUACUAUUUCAUCCUAAAUUCACGACUUUUAGGAUUAUCGAUAUUGCCCAACAUACAAACACUUUCUUUAGUUCAAAUUUACCGAGAGUUUACUUGCCACUAUAUUCUUGCCUUAGGUUUUCAACCUAGAUUACAUACAUAUCUCUCUUGUUUUCUAUGUUCAAGAUUCGCAUGCAUGUCACCCAUCUUACUCUUUUGUCGUACACACGGUUAGAAAUCUUAUCUUUUCGUAGGUCAAAUGCUAAGAUGACAUCUUGACCCGUAUAAUCUAUUAGUAUGCAACUAGAAUACAUUUACCUACAUUAUACAUAUGAAUAUAUAUGAAAUUGAAAAAAUUUUAGACAAAUGAGUGAUUAAAUAUAUUUGGGUGAUAUUUUCAAUCUUUGUUUUGAUUCUUUGCAAAGAGAUAUUUUUGAUCUUCUUUAAUUCACCAACGAAAUCCUAUUCUCUUCUAACAAGCAAAGCGUAGAUAAGAAGAUGAUCUUCUCCUUUCUAGAAUUUUCUCUUGAAGCUCCCGACCAUGGCGUGAGGGAUGCUCUCGGGUUGAGCGCCUGACCGGUGUAUUGGACAUCUGAAUGGGUUCAAUCCAAUUUUCUAAUUUAGUUUUAAAAAUAAAUUGUAACUUUAAGUUCAAAUUUAAGAUUUUGAAUUUUAGAAUUAAAAUAAUUGCAUAAUUGGUUUCCAUACUUUUCACUUUUUUCACUUUGGUUCUUUAAAAAGCCGGAUAGGUGCUCGUCUUGCACUGAUGUGGCAUAUCCUGUAAAUUUAAUGGUCAUUUUAAUGGCUGGGAUUUAAUUGUAAACAAAUAAAAAGGUCGGGGAAUUGAUUGCAAAAAUAAAAAAAGUGUAGGACUUUAUUAAAAGAAAAGUGAAAUGGUGCCAGACCGGUAAUACAAUUAACUCAAAAAAAAAUUCACAUAAAAACACUUUUUUCUUUUAAAUUAUGUUUUCUAUAUUUUUACAUCCAACAAAAUACCUUCUUCGCUAAAAAUACAUAAAAUAAAUCUUUAAUUGCCAUGUUUUCAAGAUAAAACUACUGGACAAUCAAGAACUACACUUACAAAUAGUGAUAUUUAGACUUAUCAGCAUUUAAUGUCAGCUUGUCAAUCUAGUUUGGAGAAGCAUUCGGUUAAAAUAAAAUUUCUUAAUUUGUUUGUUUUUUAUUAUAUCUUAACUCUCAGAGANUCUUUAUAUAUUUUAAUAAAUUUCUCUUUUUAAGUAUAUAUAUUUUUUAAACAUGUUAAAUUUUUAUAAUUACAAGUUUUAUAGUAGAAAAUAAAAUUUCUUAAUUUGUUUGUUUUUUAUUAUAUCUUAACUCUCAGAGAUCUCUUAUAAUUAAACAACUUAAAUUGCUCUUGCAUAUUAUUUAUUUUCUACUAUAAAACUUGUAAUUAUAAAAAUUUAACAUGUUUAAAAAAUAUAUAUACUUAAAAAGAGAAAUUUAUUAAAAUAUAUAAAGACCCAUUCAACUAUAAAUAUGAACUUUUCUGUUUCAGUUGACCUCUAUCAAUUUUUAUUUAUUUUUAUUUAAUUUUAUUUUAUUUAAUUGUAUUGGUAAAUUUGAAAUUUUUGAGAACUAAAUUCCAUAUCGCAUAUGAAUAAAAUAAAAAAUAAAUCAAUCCGGUGCCAGCAGAUCAUUCUCAUAUUACAAUGUAAAAUAAUAAUCUAAUCUAAACAGAUCUAAAGUUCAGACUACAUCAUCUUGGACCAGUUAAAAUUUCUUAAUCUACUAUUUGAAAUUGAAUAUGAUGAACUGAGGACUACAUCACCUUGACCAGUUAAAAUCUCUUAAUUUGUUUGAAAUUGAAUAUGAUGAACUGAGGCUCUGAUUAGCCGCGAACAUAUCCGGCCUCUACGCGUAUCCGCAUAGAAUUGAUGUAGAUCCAACAUCUUCCGUCGCACGGAAGAGAUGAAUCGCAUAUUACAAAGACGGUGCAAGUCUUUUUACGUUCUCUUUUUGAUGAAAUAGUGUGAACAAGAUAGAAAGAGAAUAAUGUGAGAUCCUGCUUCCUCCUCUUAAUAGAGCCGAGCCGUACAAAUCGGCACACCCUUUGUUGUAACUAAUCAAUCAUCUCCAUUAGCUGUUGGUCAUUAUUAUUAAUUUCUUUUGCUAAAAAUUACUUAGAGAAAUGAAAUUUUAAAAAUUUAUUUGAUUAAUUUACCAAAAUCUCUAAUAUAUUUAAAUAAAAUAUAGAAAACAAAACAAUUUAGAUAAAGCUUAAUUAGAAUGCUAUUUCAAAAUGGCGAAGUUGAGAGAUAUCCAUAUUAUUUUAUUUUUAUUUAUUAUUAGACUUAAAAUUUCUCGUUUCAGCAAGUAAAAUAAAUAUAAGUACACCAAUAAGACAAUUAUAUUUGAAUAAGCAUAAUGAUAAUAUUUAUAUUAUAUACAGCGUAAACUCCAAAUACUUAAGAUUUUAGUUCUCUCCAAUAUCUCAUAUUAAAGAUCUUUUGGUGGAGAUUAUUUUUUUUUAUUUUGCUCCCUUCUCACGCAUACUUUUUCACAGUAUUGAUUUUCUGGGUACAGCUAUAUAUAUGCCAUAAAAUUUUUGCAAACUACCUUAGGUCACAUAAGAUGGAUGCUAAGUAUGUUUCACCUAACCAAACUUUAUACAUGUAAUAUUAGAGAAAUCAUGCUAAAUGAUCGAGUGCUAAGUAUGUUUCACCUAACUAAACUUCAUACAUGUGAUAUUGGAGAAAUCAUGCUAAAUGAAUAGCUUCAUAAUCCUUAAUUCCUUCUCAUCAACGGUCUCUAAAACUACCGACCAUCCGUAGGACCCUAGCGCAAGUGAUUAGGAGCUUGGUGGUUGAUAACCGAGAUUCUAAAUUUUAAGGCUAGUUGCUCUCCAUUUUCAGCUGAAUUUUUUUUAUAAAAAAAUAAACAAAAUAGGUAGCAUUUUAUCUUUGCUUUAAUUUUAGCUAUUUUUGUCAAUUAACCUAGACGUUUUUCUAAAUUAAAAAUAUUUAUUAAUUAUAUGCUACAAGUAUUCUACUAACAGUCUAUUGUUUCGUCAGUUUAAUUAUUUGUAACUCACUAAUUGUUUCUGGCGUAAGUGGUAAAAAACUUGAUAGUUAGUACUCGAGGCCCCAAGUUCGAAGUCUGCUUCAUAUUUUCAAUCUACUUUGAGUCCCGAGUUCAAAUUCGCUUCAUAUUUUUAAAGAAAAACUUCAAAAACCCCCCUGUGGUUUCGUAGUUUCUCACUUUUCCCCCCUGUGGUUUAAAAUGUAUCAAUUUGCUCCGCUGUGAUUUCUUUUUUCUCUUUUUCUUAUCAAUUUCAUUAUUUUUUUUCUUAAAUCAGUGAUAAAGUUAAAAUUAAAGGGUACUAAAGUGAAUAUUUGAUAAAUCUAGAUGGAUAUCUGAAAUUUUUUGUAUAUAAUUUAAUGAAAUAUUAACGAAAAAACUACCGAAAAGAUAAAAACGAAACCAGAGGAGGACAAAUUAAUAUAUUUUAAAUCACAUUGGGGUAAAAUGAGUAACUACGAAACCACUGGGGUUUCUUAAAGUUUUCCCUAUUUUCAACCUACUUUGGUCGAAUGCCCGAUCCCCAAGUUUCAUGUAAAAUAAUAUAAAAUAAUUUACUUGACCUGAAAGACCAUUUUUGUCCACUCCGAACAGAGAUGCACGAUCCAAUACAUGGCUGAAUGAAUUGAUUUAUCAAGAAAUAAAACUCGCUAUUUUUACAUAUUAGGCUCCUAUUUGGAUGCGUAAACAUCUUAUUUAGGAUAUUUAGCAUGUAAUAUUUAAUAGAUAAAUAGUAUGAUCGAAUAUCUAUAAUGAAUAUCAUAUUCAACAUCCAACUAAUUUUAUUAAGAUGAAAUAUGUUAUCCUACUAAAUUAGAAAUAAUAAAAUAUUUCAAGAGACAAAAAUUAAGCUCCUAGAAAAAGAAAAUUAUACGAAAUAAGUUAUCAUUGAAUAUCUUAAUCCAAAAUCCAAAGAAGCCUAAUAAAGGUUUUGUAUUAGAAUAGCUAAAGAUUCCCAAAUUUUCCAAGCACAAGUCUUGGUGUUUUAUUACCCAAUACCAACUCUACCUGUAUUAUUUUUUAAAAUUUAAUUCCAUGUUAUAAAAUUUAAUUAAAUUGUAAUCAAGGGAAGCUGAAAAAGAUUUAAACUAAAGAGUCCGACUGGUAUACUACCGGUAGUACGGAGGCCUCCGUACUACUAAAUUGUUUUCAAUGAUGCAGCUUUCAAAUCAACAAUCAGCUCCAUUAGACUUAAUCUACAUUAUUGAAAAUAUUUGAAAACUAAAUUUCAUAAUUUUUCGACAUCAUUUACCUGUCAAAGAAGUAGUAUAAAAAUAAACAGUUAAAAAUAAAAAUCUCAUAAAAAUGAUGAUAAAAAACUUAAAUUUAAAAUCAGAGAUAUUGAUCUUAUUCUAAAUAGUAAAAAAUGAAAAUAAAAAUUUCAUCAGAUUUGAAUUGUUUUACACCGUUAAAUUUACAAACGCAUCACAUCGACCAUUAUAAUUGUCAAUUUUGAAACAUUUUGAUCGCUAUCUAAAUAAUGUCAAAAAAUCAAAAAAUUUAGUUUUCAAAUACUUUUAAUAGUGUAGAUCAAGUCUAAUGAAACCGAUCAUUGAUUUAGAAGCCGCAUCAUUGAAAACAACUAGAUAGCACGAAGGCCUCCGUGCUAUUUGAUAGUAUAUCAGCCCUAGCUCUAAAGUGAGUUCAUAAAUACAGUGGGUCAUUUUGAUAGAUAACACCAUUCAAUUCAAACUUUCCACUUUGUAAAGGGUGUGGUUACAGUGCAGAUCACAGCAUCCAACAACCUCCAAUUCAAACAACAAAGAAGCAGAGCUUCUUCAAGUGUUUCAAGCUUUUGCAAUCACAGAACUUCAGAAAAUCAACUACAGGAUUAAAAGGGUGCUAGUUUAUUUCAUCAACUUUCCAUGGUUUGCCUACAAAGGGACAAACAUAAGUGAAAAAAUAAUAAUAAUAAUAAUAAUAAUAAUAAUAAAUAUAUAUAUAUAUAUAUAUAUAUAUAUAUANAUAUAUAUAUAUAUAUAUAGAUAUAUAUAUAGAGCUAGACUCCUGCGCUUUCGAAAGUACGGAGGCUUUCAUACUUGUAAAUUGUUUUCAUUGAUAGGGCAUCCGAUUCGGCGAUCGGUUCCGUUAGAGAUGAUUUACAGUAUUGGAACUCUCUAAAAACCAAAUUUCAUAAGUUUUUUACUUUUUUUGCCUCGUGAACUAUUAGCCUUAAAAUGAACGGCUGAAAUUAAAAAUUUCAUAAAAAAGAGUGAUAAAAGACUUAAGUUUCAAAUCGAAAGUAUUGAUCUUGCUUUUCAUGAUAAAUACAAUUUUCUUUUAAAGUUUUACGUAAUUUCGAUUGUUCUACACGUCGAACUUGUAAACAUGCCACAUCGGCUAUUAAAAUAGUCAUUUUUGAAACCUUUCAUCACUUGGUAAAUAAAAUUGAAAAAUUAUGAAAUUUAGUUUACAAUAGCAUAGAUCAUGCCUAACGAAAUCAAUCGUUGAAUUGGAUCUUCCAUCAUUAGAAGUAGCUUACAAGCACGGAAGCCUCCAUACUUUCAAAACCGUAGGAGAUGUACUCUAUAUAUAUAUAUAUAUAUAUGUAUAUAUAUAUAUAUAUAUAUAUAUUCAACUACACAUAGCAUAAACACGUUCUUUAUAAACAAAAGUUUAAGCCCCUGAAAUUCUACUAUGCGCAAAGAUCUUACCCAAAUGCUUAAGGUACCACAAUGCCCAAAUGCUCAAGAUACCAUAAUGCCCCUUCUGCAGCAUGUUCUCUCGCAGCUUUCUUUUUCCGCUUUGGUUCACUAAAGCACUCCAAGAUUGUGGUGGUGAUUGUAUCCACUUCCACUGUGACUUUGCAGGUGAACCUGCCACAAUUUAAUGCCUACAACAUAAGAUGGUGGAUCAUGCUGAUGUAUAUAAAUAACUAAGCAUAAGUACCAUAGCAAGGCUACCUUCAGAAAUUAAUAAUGCUAUUCUGUAAGUGCAUAAAUGAAGAUGCUUUUGUUCAGAUUAUUCUAUCGGCGGGGGCAAUUUUGAUCCUUUUGAAACUUUCAGAAAUUGCUAUUUGAGUUAAACUAUUAGAAGAAGCACAGGAAGUUUUUCACUCCUUGAAACUUUCAGCACAACAAAGCAGAAGCUUCAAACCUGAGCUUCUACUUUGCAGCCCACACGCACAUUAUAACUUCCUGCAGCAAUAAAAGCUUCAAAUAGUUUGUCUAACAAACGCGUUGCCGAUGCUUCUUUGAGCAGAAAAACUGUUCUAGAUGCCAAGCCAAAUAGGUACAUAAUAGCAAAUGCACCUUCUCUAACAUCAGCUUACAUGAAUAUGAUAUAUCUCCAAGGAGGAGGUAGCUAAGGAUAUAAGCUCCCUCUCUUUUACUUUUUCCAUCUCAAUUUUAGCAUCUGAGAGCUGUGCAUUUCUUGUUGUCUGAUGCAAGUUUGUUCGAACUUUUAGAUCUUAUUGUAACAGGCUAUGCCUUGUUGCUUUAAAUUUUGAAUGAGCCCAAAAAAUUUUGGGCAUGUUAUCAACAUAAUACCUGUCAAAGUAUAUAACUUUUCAACUUUAAAUAUGCUUUAAGUUAUUGCUAUUUCAGACUUUUUCUUGGAAAGCAAUUAAGAUAGCACUUAUUACUAAUCAUCAGUAGUUACAAAAUCACAAGGUAUACCAAAAAUGAAGCUAAAAAUUCCUGAAGCUAAAAAAUCCUGUGGUUAUUACAUUUUACGUAUCUGAAAAGGCAUGGCCGAAAAUGCAAUGAUUCCUUUAGACACAUCAGCAAGAAAUAUAUAAACUGUCAUACAUCCCAAGAAUUGUGAAUAUCAUUAAACUUGAAAAGUCGCACAGCUACUCACAUCAACAGUUGCAAGAACGGAGAAUUUUGUCAGCAAAAUUUAAGUAAUGGUCCCUCCAUAUGACAACGGUAUAUCACUAAAAUCAUGUGCAUAUGAAUUCUCACAUCCCUGUAUAGCUUGUUGUUUCUUCAUACUUUUAAAUAUACAUAUACUGCAGCAUAAAGUUUCCGUGCAUUUAACAUGCUCCAUGGGCGUCAAUCUAGUAUUAGAAAUUUCUACACAUAACAGUGAAAAAUGUACAAAAUUCUAGUAAAUCUAUUGUCAUCAGUAAGCUGUUCCUUUAUACACUUAAACUCAUCCAUAGUGCGCCACAAAUUUUCCAUAUUUAUAACAUGCUUCAUAGGCGUCAAUCAAAUGUAUGAAUUCUUGAACUGAUGUUCUCAUAAAUUUGCAGAAUGUGUAUAACGUCUUCGUUCAUUUUUUUUUAUGAGAAAAUUCAUUGCAUUUAUUUUUGCAAACUUACAUCCUUCCAUGGACGGGUCCUUCUUGGCACAAUUCAAACAAAGGCGCUUUCCAAUAGUUAGAGGCACAGAUCUCGAACAGCUUCGUCCUCGCUGUUUUGAUUCUGGGAAUGCCUAUGGAUCCAAAGCAUAAUGAAAACAAUUUAAUAAAUUCUAAAUUCAUUUACAUGAUAAUUCUUCAUUACAGAAGCUUAAAAUUGGCACCUUUUUGACCGCCAGGAUUGGCUUGUUGUCCUUCAUUCGCUGCUUGAUGACCCACGACUGUUUUAUCCUUAUCCUUUGUCUUAUGGAGAUGCGACUCGCAAUGGGUCUCCUUCGAGUCGACGAAUAACUUGGCCAAUUUAUCUACACCAACGCCCGCUGCUAACGGCUGUUGGCCCUUUACAACGAAUUGCGGCUCCUUCUUCCUAGCGGGCCGCAUUAUCUCCUUCAACGACUCACUCUUCCGCUUAAAACCAAGGGCCUGGACUGAAAAUGAAGUAAAUGAAAAGUACAUAUAUAUGCAUGAUGUUUCUGCAAACUCAGUUUUUCGAAAGUAGAACAGAAAAACAACUGUUAAGCCCAAAAUAGGCAAAUCAGAGUCAUUCAAUCUGAUUGAAUAGUGACCAAAUUCAAUGAAUCUGUCUGUCAAUAGUAAAACCAGCUCUGUUGAUAAAACUAGCAAUCCCAGAAGGUAGAUUAGCUGCCGACCUGAGGUUGAGCUACCAUAUUUAGUACUCAAAUUUACAGCGACGAGAUCUGAACAACAACGCAGAAUAAACAAAUGAUCCAGUUAAAAUCGAACCAAUGGAUCGCAGAUAUCCAAGAAAAGGUAAGUUAUGGCCUAUGGGAGACUCUGGACUGACGCAGUUUAGUGAGAGCAGAAAUAUUAGUUCUGUCGUCGACCACGAUGGCGACGAGGAAGGAUUGUAGAAUGUUGCGAAACUGUAUCCAAUUCUGAUAUCUAAAAUUGGAAGUGGAGAGCAUGAUAGAAUGGCAAGUACCCAGCACUCCAUUUGUGGCAAACAAUAGGCAUGGUUGGAGAAGAUCAAAGUACCAGCUAAUGCUGAAGAGAGUGUGCCCUACCUCCUGCUGCUGCUGCUGCUGCUGCUCCGCUUCCGUGAAGCUAACCAUUCGGAGGGGGUGAAGAAGAGGAAAUGAGAUCCCCUUGAAACCCUAGAAAGGGAUCCGCAUCUCUGAACACAUCGCAAGUUUCAAUCGAGCCCCCUAAACUUUCGUUGCAAUUGGGUUCUCACAUUAGGAUAAUUGCCUAUAUACCCCUCAAAACUUCAGAAAUUUCUCAUUUACCCUUUUUUUUUCUUUCUAAUACACCCCUCAUACAUUCCUCCGUUUUUCCAAAAUAUUCCUAGGGCGUGUUUGGUGCGCUUCUUUUUCACCCUGGAAUCGAAAUCGGAAUGGAUAAAUCCGUUUAUGGGUGUUUGGUACGGGGUUGUUCCAUUUCAAUUCCGAUUCCCGAGUGAAAUGGGAAUCCCCCAAUCACCUCUUUUUUCAAUCCGGCCUAGGAGGUCGGAUUGAAAGUUGAAUCCGGACGGAAUGGAUAUUUAUUCGGAUUAAAUUUAUUUUUUAACUUUUUUAAUUAAAAUAUGAGUUAAAAUUUUAAAAUUAAAUAUAUAAUUUUAAAUUUUAAUUUAAACUUAAAUUAAAAAUUAAAAUUUAAUCAAGUAUUUCGAAUCUAACUUAUGAAUUUGAAUUUAAAUUAAAUUUUAAUUUAUAUAAAAUGUUAUUCAAAUUUUAUUUCAAACUUAAAUUAAAUUUAUGGAUUCAAAUUAAAAUUUAAAUUGUAAUUUUAAAUUUGAAUUUGAAUAAAUCAAAAUUUAGUUUCAUAUUUUGAAUUAUCCACUCAACUUCAAAGUUUAAUUUUUUUUAAAAAAAAUAGAUUUAAAAUUUUGACAUUAUUUCAAAAUUUUGAUGUAAAUUUUUAAUAUUUAAUUUUUAAUUUGAAUUUAAAUUAAUAUAUUAUAAAGAUAAUGUUAGUAUAUUAAUUUGAUUACAUUUUUUAUAUCCACCUGAACCAAACACCGACAAUGGGAAUGAUUUACUCCGAUUCCGAUUCAGGUGAUGAACCAAACAGAAUCAGAUAAUGAGUCAUUCCGAUUCCAAUUCCAGCUUAUUUUGAUUCCGAUUCCGAUUUCGAUUCCGACUUCGAACCAAACGCGCCCCUACAGUUAUCACCCGUUAAAUUAACUUGGAUUAAACGUGAGUUAAAUAUCUACCACAGUUAAAAAAAUUAAAAUACCACUUUUGUCCUUAACUUAAGGGCAAAUAAGAAAUUUGGUGGUGGUAGAAUGGUAUAUUUGAAAAAACUAAAAAACAAAAUACUUUUUUGUGCCCUUAACUUAAGGGCAAAUAAGAAAAGUCGGUGAUGGUAGAAUGGCAUAUUUGAAAUGGCAAAAUAAUAAUUUCAUAUAGAUAAUUGAGUUCAUUAACAGAUUUUAACUCUAGAGAUAUAUUAGAAAUAGGUUGGAACGUAAAAAAAGUAUUUUUAAUAUUAGCCUUUUAAAAAGGCUAAAUCAGAAAGUCAAAAACUUUUCAGAGGUAUGUAAGCAAUUACCCCCUUACAUUUCACACCCAAGCAUCAAAUUACUAGGGAUGAAAGUGGUCACGGUAAACUCUCAUCAGAUCCGAUACCGAAUUCCAUAAAAUACGAAGGCUGCGUUUGAUUUGGGUAUAAGUAAGAACUGCUUAUUCUAAGAAUAGGUAUAAGCUUAGGUAUAAGUAGGAACAAGACCAAUUUUACGUUUGGAUGAAAUUAGGUUGUUCCUAGAAAUAAGGUAAAUAGUAUUUUGAUGGUUAUAUUGGAGCGAAGAGAAUAAGAGUUAUAAUUGUAUAUAUUAAAAUUACUUUAUAUAAUUAAUUAACAUCAAAACAUUACUUAAAAUAAUAAAUUAAUAUUAAUAAUUAUAAAUAAUAAAUUAAUUAAAUAAUAAUAAAUUAUUAUUAAUUAAUAUUUAUUAUUUUUAAUUUUUUAGUAUUAAAUAAUUAAUAAUUAUAAAUUAUAAAUUAAUUAAUUAAUAAUAAAUAAUUAUAAAUAAAUUAUUAAUAAUAAAUUAAUUAGAUAAUAUAGUAUAAAUAAUUUAUUAUUUAUAAUUUAUUAAUAAAAAUUUAUUAUUAAUUAAUAAUUUAUAAUUUACAAUUAUUCAUAAUUUACUAUUUAUUUUAUUAUUAAUUAAUUAAUUUAUUAUUUAUAAUUAUUAUUAAUUUAUUAUUUAUACUAUAUUAUCUAAUUAAUUUAUUAUUAUAAUUUAUUAUUUAUAAUUAUUUAUUAUUAAUUAAUUAAUUAAUAAAUAAUUAUAAUUAUAAAUAAUAAUGAUUUAAUUAAUAAUUAUAAAUAAUAAAUUAAUAAAUUAUUUUAUUAUUUAAGCAAUAAAUAAUGAUUUAAAUAUAUUAAUUAGAUUAAUUAAUUAUUUAAUAUCAUAAUUAUAAUUAUUUUUAAACUUUAGUUAACUUUAUUCUCAUAUGGGAACAAGCUUGCUCCAGGGAAAAGCUGAACAGCCGUUCCAGCUUUAUUCCGGCUUAUUUCAGAAAUUCGAGAAUUGUUGUUUUCGGAUACUAAACGUAGCGUUUGGUAACAAAGGGGGGAACAAGGGCUUAUUCCCCCUAGUUCCCAAACCAAACGCUACCAAAGAGUCCAGCUGGGUUAUUUCUAAUAGCAUCAAAUAUUUGAUUCUAUCAAAUUUUUCACUAUUUAAUUUAUUUAUUUGAUCAUUUUUUUUCUAUUAAAUCAUACUAUUCAACCUACUAGCUACUCAACACUACAGGAUUAUUAUCAUCCUAACCGCACAUCUCUUCCUCCAAGGACCGAAAACCUAAUAGCACUAUUGACUUGGUACUAUUAGAAAAUUUUCGGUCUAAUUUGAAUACAAAUAUGGAUAUUAAAAUUUAGUAUUAGAUACAUAUUUGUAUCUAAAUUCUCAUUAUAUAUAUAUAUAUACAUAUAUAUAAUUGAGCUAGAAUACUUUUAGGAGUAUUACUCCCUUGGUGCUUUUAAGAUUUUUAGCCCUUGGAUCUACUACUUGAUUACUAAUAGUCAUUGGAUCAAACACUAUUCCACCUACCACCACCUACCACCAUCAUCCCAACCUUACAUUUCUCCAUUCAAGAGUUGAAAACUCAAAAGCACCAAUCUCUUGGUGCUUUUGAAAGUAUUCUAGCUCAACUCUCUCUCUCUCUAUAUAUAUAUAUAUAUGUGUGUGUGUGUGUGUGUGUGUCACGCCCCGGAUUACCACGUUUCUCCGGGUACGCCAACAGACCCGCGGUAUAUAAAAGAAUUUUCUUUGUAUACGAAGCGAUAGCUGUAUCUGUACCUAUAAUCAUACAAAACUACAACUAGUAGUAUAAAGCUCCUAACAGAACUAUAAACAUAUGUAAAUAAACAUCAGGUUCGCUAUACAUACAUAGUCUUCAGGAUACAGACAUCACUCGCUCAAGCGAGUACCAGUAUAAGUAUGUACAUGAACCAAAAACUCAAAACUACCUUUAGAUGGUACUCCACUAGUACUGCAACCCAGGAAAGGAUCUAACUCGCGACUCCCUUUUCACGAUCAGUAUCGGCGACAGCAGCAGCCGCAGAAUAAGGCUCUACAAAAAAGGGUCAAUAACUGGGUGUGAGAACUACUGCAAAAAGAAGUAAUUCUCAGUGGGUACCGCUACCGACCUCAACGGCUCAUCCACUAAGUCUACAGAAAGUAUGCAAAAAGAUAGUAAAAGAAGCUGGUAAAACUCUACAGCUAUAUACCACUAUACUAUCGCUAAACAACACUAGCUAUCUGUAAAUGUAAACAAGAUGCAAUCUCUGACCCAAUCUCACUAGGGACUGUGAACACACCCGUUUCGCCCGUCGAAACUACACCAACCACCACCACACUGGGUUGUUGGUGGAAAGCAAGUCCAACCAGAACACUACGACAACAACGCAAAAGCAUUAAACCCGACUCCGGAGUGGCACUCGUGGACGCUACCCAACCGAGAAUGCAAACGUGUCUUUGCCGAGCUCAAUCAGACUCUCACAGGCUAAAAUGAAAACAAUCGGGUCUAACUGGUCUAACAACCAAAACUCACGUGCCCUUGACACAAUUUGAUGCAAAUACAGAAAUCUGGAUCUACCGUCAACCGCGACGGCACCCGACAGUCUGAAAUAGUCUACACACUACUGUAAAAAUAAACUCGGCAUCUCAGCACGAGUAUAAACUAAUCCUACACUAAUCUGAGUAUCCAUCGCAUACUAACAGCGACGAUACAAACAAACCACAGCUCCUAAAGCUAAAUCUGGUAAUUUUUAGAAAGUGACAGUAUAGAAUCUAUAUAUUUUCUCCUAAGCCAAUUUCAAGUUCAACAUGUAAAAUUAAACUACUAACUUAACUCCAAAUUUAGAUUUAAACACUAAUCCAUGAAUUCGAGUACUAGUAAGGAAAAUACACAGAUAAUACAUAUCAAGGAUACUAAAACUUAGAAUAUAUUCCGACGAUUUCGGUAAACUUCAACCUACCUCAAAAAGCUAGUCCAACUACGGCGAGAAGUCGAGAGGAGAGAAAACACGCGCUCGCCCGGCCUCCCAAUGAUGCAACCGCGACGCUCCCACGCUCGAACGGCCCUCCGGAUCAAUGUCAAAAUCAGCCGAACUCGAGCCGCGAUCACCACCACGAGCAUGUUCAAAACUAGAGAGAGAGCAUCAACAAUAAAAAAAACUCUCCCCUCAACUCUCUCUGCAAGUCUAAAGAGGUGGGGAUAAGGAUAACAUUGGUGAUAAUGACAAUCCAAAAGACCAACGUACCCUUCACCUACUCAAAAUUACAGCUAGAGUACCGGUACCCGAUUUGGUUACCGGUACUCAGCCUCUCAGCCCGCAAGCUCUCACACAAGGUACCGGUACCAACCCGAUGCCGUACCGGUACUCAGCAUCAAACUGGCGCAACCCGAGAGCAGUCUGUUUGAAAAUACACUGGGGAACCGGUAUUUCCCUAUAUAGUACCGGUACUCAAUACUAAAAACCUAUACUUUGCAGAUUUUAUUGUCAAAACUCUGCUCUCGCGUCGCACUGAGUCCGUUUUGCGUCCAUUUCGCGCCAAAACAACUUUGACUUGUCCCGACAUUCUCCAAAUAUGUCGACAAGCCUCAGAUGCUAAAAUCCCACAGGCAACCAAACACCAGGGAUACUAUAGUGUGCGCGCGCGCGUGUGUGCGUGCGCGCGCGCGUGUGUGUGUGUGAAUAUUGUUUUUUAAAAUUCCAACUAUAUAUAACUGUCUCUACUUGUAGAAGAUAAGAGGGAUGUUAAUGUAUAUUAUAUUAUAUGGGGGAUAAAAUGGUUUUCUGUCGCAUUUUUUAUUUAUUUAAUUAUAAAUUUAAUAGUAAAAUUAAAAUUAUGUUAUAUUUUUAAAAUAUUAAACUUCAUUGAAUAAAAUAUAGGGAUGCGAAGUUCAAACAUAAGUGUGAAACUUUAGUUACAUUCUAUGUUUUAUCUGUACUAAUUCUAGUUCAUAUUUAUAUAUAAACUAUUGGUAUAAAUUAAUAUCCGAAUAAUAUAUGAAUGCAAAUUCGAUAUUCGUCUUUAGCAGAUAGAUAUAACAAAAAUUUAACGUCCGAUACAAAUCAGCAUACGAAUUCACUUCUGAGGAAAAAUACGAAAACGAAUAUUGUUUUGUCAAAACUUCAAUCAUAUUCGGCUGGUUUUACCCCUACAAAGAAGGCCCUAACCUUCUACUUAUUAUAAUUAGAUUCUUAAUAUUUUAAUUAAGUUUUCAAGUAAACCCAUAAUGCAUUUCUAGUCGAUUCAAUUAGAUUUUAAUUUGUUUUGAAUAUUUUAUUAUUAUUUGUUUGUUUCUCACCAGAUUUGGAAUGUAUAAGAUCUACGCAAAAUUGGCCCGAUGCACCCAACAAAAGUUGUUAACAAAUUGACUUAUGUUUGGCUCAAAAGUAAAAUAACCUUAAGAUAAUUCGGCUUAUUUUCAGCUGAAAAUUAAUUUGAGCUAGUUCGAAAUUAUUUCAAACGGGCUUAAAUUUAAACUGUAACAAAAUAUUAAUGUAUUAUUAUUAUUAGUUUAUUAUUAUUGAUGCUUAAUUUAAAAAUAUGUCUUACCUAAAAUAAUUGUAUCUGACUGUUUAAUGGGUCAAACUUAGGCGCCAGCCUCACUGGCUCAGAAACUUUCCCCCGUCCUUCAUUUGACCUGGUCCGAUCCAAAGUUCUGUUCAAACCCCACCACAAUAGUAAAAUAAAAAAAAAAGGAAAAAAAAGAGGCCAAUUUGCAUAAAAAAUUCACUUAUUUUGGACUUUUGCAAAAUCGGGCCACAUUUUUCGUUUUUGCAGAUUCGGUCCGCUUUUUCGUCCGCCUAACCAAAAUACCCUUAUUACUUUUUCUCUUUCCUCUUUCUCUCUCCUCUCUGUUUCUAUCGUUCUGUUUUUUUUUCUCGCCGCGCUCGCCGUUCUCCCUCGAAUCCUCCUGCGUCGUCCCCAUCACCGUCGCGUUCCCGAACCGCACCCUCCUCGCUCCCCUCCCGCAACCCAGCAACCCCCUUGACCGCCGCCGCACGGGCCGCUCCUCCGCCGCCGCGCGUCGAUUCUGUUUUUUUUUUCUCGCUGCGCCUAGCAGUCCCCUCGAAUUCACUGCGGGCCGUCACUCACCGUCGCGUUCCCCGAACCCCCUCCUCGUCCCACCGGCGACUCCGCCAAGUUCCUCGACGGCCCCCCGCCGCUGCUCCCGCCGGCCGCGGAUUCGAAGGAGAAAAGGCAGCGCGGCGAGAAAAAAAAAAGAGCGAUAGAAUUACACCAUUACACCAUUACCAUUACACCUACCAUUACAUCAUUACACCAUUACCAUUACACUAUUACACCAUUACUAUUACAUCAUUACACCAUUACCAUUACAUCAUUACCAUUACAUCAUUACACCAUUACACCAUUUACGCCACUACAUCAUUACACCAUUUGCCGAUGGAGAAGAACACGCGUGGGUCUUUUUCAUUUUCUUCUUCUUUUUCAUUUUCUUCUUCUUCCUCCUGCGGAGGACCUCGACUCCCUCAAUCUCCGCUGACGGGGGUGCCUCUUCCGCCGCCGCCUCGGCGGGGCGCGGCGGCGCCGAUGGCGUCAUCGGACGAGGAGACGUUUUACACGCCGCAGCGCUCGGCGGAGUCGGUGUACAGCGACAGCCCCAGCAGCCCCAUCUCGCGGCGGUGGUGUCGAAAGCUCGUCGGCGAUGGUGAGGGAGCUGCUCGAGGUGGUGCUCGCUCUGUUGAGCUCGGGCUUGGCGGCCGCCGACCUGCGCUGGUCGACGAGGCCGCGCAGGCCGCGGACUGCGACGAGCGGAGAAGCCGCGAAGCUCGGGGCCAGCUCCGCCACCACCACCGCGUUGCUUCGCCGCAACCGCUCAUUCUCCUCCACCAACGCCGUCGCUCCUCCUACGUUGGCGGCGGCGGCGGCGGCGGAGGCGGUAGGGGUGGGGCCGAGGACGAGGAGGCGAGGAGGAGAGGGGGAGUCGGUCUAUGGCUGGGGGUCCGCGGCGACGGGAUCGAAGAAAGGAGAGAGAAAAAAAAGAGGAGAGAGAAAAAUAUAUAAAGGUAUUUUGGUCAGUUUGCUGAAAAAGUGGACCGAAUCUGCAAAAACGAAAAAGGUGGCCGGGUUUUGCAAAAACCCAAAAUAAGUGGAUUUUUUAUGCAAAAAGGCCAAAAAAAUGUGUCAAUGUAUGGAAAAAAAAAAUCCAUAUUUCUAAAAAUUCCUAUCCAAAUCAAACUUAUACGACAAAAAAAGAAAAAAAAAAUAGCAUAUGAGAUGCAAAACACACAAAACUUGCAAAACACUAAAAAUUAAAGGGAAAACUUCAAACACCAACCUGUGAUUUCACAAUUUUUCACUUUAGUACCCUGUGGUUUAAAGUGUAUCAAUUUAGUAACAUAUGAUUUCACACUUUCUCACUUUAGUACUCUGUGGUUUAAAGUGCAUCAAUUUAGUACCCUGUGGUUUCAUUUUUUUUCUUUUCGUCAACUCCUCUGUUAAUAUUUCGUUAAAUUAUGUAUAAAAAACUUCAGAUACCUUACUUAAGUUUUUCAAAUAUUUACCUAGCACCUUUUAGUUUUAAUUUUGUCACUGAUUUUUUUUUCCUCCAUUAAUAUUUCGUUAAAUUUUAUACAAAAAACUUCAGAUAUGCUACCUAGGUUUAUCGAAUAUUCACUUUAGUACUCUUUAAUUUUAACUUUGUCACUGAUUUAACGAAAAAAAUUAGUGAAAUGGAUAAUAAAAAGAGAAAAAUAAAACCACAGUGUCCUAAUUUGAUACACUUUAAACCACAGGGUACUAAAGUGAGAAAGUGUGAAACCACAUAGGCUAACUUGGUACACUUUAAACUACAGGGUACUUAAGUAAGAAAGUGUGAAACCACGGAGGGUAUUUGAAGUUUGCCCAAAAUUAAAUUAUAUGUUUGUAUAUAAAGUCCAACCGGUGUGCUUUCAAAUGAAGGCUUCAGUACUUUCAAAUUAUUUUCAAUAAUAAGACAUUCGAUUCGAUGAUCUGCGCAAUUAGAUAUAAUCUACAGUAUUAGAACUAUCUCAAAAUCAAAUCUUAUAAUUUUCCAUCAUUAUUUGUCAAGUGAUCAAAAGGUUUGAAAAUUGAUAAUUUUAAAGGCUGAUGUGGUACGUCUGUAAAUUCAACAGUAUAAAACAAUCUAAAUUAUAUGAAAUUUUAAUAAAAAAACUCUUUUUACCAUCAAUAGCAAAAUUUUUAUUUUCGAUCUAAAAUUUAAGUUUUCUAUCACAAUUUUUUAUGAGAUAUUUAUUUCAAUAAUUAUUUUGGGACUACUUGUUUACUAGUCAAAUGAUGUCAAAAAUUAUAAAUUUUGGUUUCCAAAUAGUUUUAAUAAUAUAGAUUAUGUUUACAAUAACGUAGAUUACAUUUAACAAGUUGAUUGUCGAAUUGAAUGUCCGAUCAUAAAAAUAACUUUAAAAUAUGGUGGGUUUCGUACUUCAAAGCAUACUAACCUAGUUCUCUCUCUUUCUAUCUCUCUCUCAUUAUAUAAUAUACUCCCCCCCGGGUGCCCGCUCGCGCCCAUCGCAGCGCCCGCCCGCGCUCACGCCCGCUCGCCGCCGCACGUCAGCGUUGUGGCCACCGAAGCCCGAUCACGGAGAGGGUUGUUUACUACUUUUGUUUUCACAAUUCAAAAAUAGAUAUUGAUGUGUGUGGGGAGGUGGUGUUGGUGGUGAAGGUGUGCUGGGUGGAGGUGAUGGUGAUGAAAAAUGUGAGAGAAAGAAGAGAAAUUAGGUAGAAAUUGAAAGAGAGAAGAAAUUGAAGAAAUAAAAUAAAAAAAUAAUCUAGCCACCCAUCAAUUCUGAUUAAUGGCUGAAAACUGGGAACGUAAGGAAUGUUUGUGCUCAAUAAUUAUACAGUAUCUGCUAUAUUAGAGUAGGGGUUACUGUGUAUUAGAAGCAUAGUAGCUCUUAUACUUCUAACUUUCAUCUAUCCAUCAAUUUUGAUUGAUGUUAGAUGAGAAAAAGAAAAAAAAAUUGGUGAAAAUUUAAGUGCCUCAAUUUCUCUCACUUUUUGAAUUUCUUGACCGUCUUCUAAACGCACAGUAGCCUCAUAUAUAUAUAUAUAUAAUAUAUAUAUAUAAUAGAUGCGGCUAGGAUGUUUAUGGAAGCACGAGAGCUCCGCGCUUCCACUUUGUUUUCGAUGUUUGGACUUUCAAUCGACGAUCGGCUCCGUUAGACUUGAUCUAGAGUAUUUGAAGUACCUAGAAAAUAAAUUUUGUGAUUUUUCGAUAUCAUUUGCCAAGUGAUCGAAGGGCUCAAAAUCAACGGCUGAAAAUAAAAAUCUUACAAAAUAUGAUGAUAAUGACAUUAAAAUUUUAGAUCUAAAGCUAUUGAUCUUGUUUUAUAUGGUAUAAAGAAUUUUCUAUCAAAUUUCAUGUGAUUUGAAUAUUUCUACACCGUUAAAUUGCAACCGGCUCACCACGACCGUUAAAAUUAUUGAUUUUGAGCCCCUUCGAUCACUAGGCAAAUGAUAUCGAAAAAUCGCAAAAUUUAUUUCUAGUUACUUCAAUACUCUAGAAUCAACUCUAACGGAGCGAUCGUUCGAUUCGAAAGUCCGAAACAUCGAAAACGACUUGGAAAGCACGGAGGCCUCCGUUACUUCCUAUAAGCAUAACCAGCACAACUCCCUCGUCGCUCUCUCCUCCAUCUCUCUCCUCUCGUUCUCGUCUCUCCUCUCCUCUCUCUCUCUCUCUAUAUAUAUAUAUAUAUAUAUAUAUAUAUUACUAUACUAUUAAUAGCACCACGUCAUUGUUGCUGUUAAAUUUUCGGUCCUUCAAUGAAGUGAUGUGCAGUUAAGAUAAUAGUUGUUCCCUAGGAUUCAAUGGGUGAUUGGUUGAAUAGUAUAAUCUAACGGAUGAAAAUGGUUAAAGGGGUAGAUUUAACAUCAAAAAACUAGGUACAAUACGUGCAAAUGCACAUCACAACUAUCUUAAUAGUUAAUCUCAAAGCAACAUAUAAAUUUGUAUAUUAUAUUUGCGCAAAAAAUUAUAAUUAAAAUUUAAAAUUUUAAAAAGUAAAUUUAUAAUAAAUUAUAAAAUUUAUUUUCUAGAUACUUCAAAUACGGUAGAUCAAAUCUAACGGAGUCAAUCGUUGAUUCAAAAAUUCAAUCAUCGAAAGUAAUUUAGGAGCACAAAGGCCUCCGUACUGCUAAGAGCAUAGCAGCUCUUGUGCUUCUAAGUUCUUAACCGCUCAUCAAAUUUAAUGGGUGGUUAGGGUGAAAGAGAGAAGAGUAAUUAGAGAGAAAUUGAGUUUCUUAAUUUCUCUUCUUUUUGAAUUUCUCUCUAAUUUCUUUUCUCCCAUUCACUCUAGCCACUUACCAAAUUUGAUGGGCGGUUAAAAACUUAGGAGCACAAGAGCUGCUGUGCUCCUAAUAGCACAGUAGCCCUACUAUAUAUAUAUAUAUAUAUAUAGUUCGGCUACUAUAUUUUUAUGAGUAUAGAGUCUAUUAUACUCAUAAGUUUUUGGCUAUUAGAUCUACCCUUUAAUCAUUUUCACUUGUUAGAUUAUACUAUUCAACCAACCACCCACUAUCAACCUAACCGUAACUACUUUCAUCCUAACGACACAUUUUUUCACCUGAACGGUUGAAAACUUAUGAGUACAAAAGGCUCUAUACUCAUAUGAGUAUAGUAACCCCAGCCAUAUAUAUAUAUAUAUAUAUAUAUAUAUUGAAGUAUUGCUAAUAUUUUUCAAAUUAUGAUGAAACCAAAUUUAAAUACUAUUUUAAACUAAAAGUAUUGAAAUUAAAAUUCCCCUUAAUUCAAAUUUAAAGUUAAUUGAUUUGCUUUAAUUAACAUUUAUAAUUAUGAAUUCAAAUUGAUAUCCAAAAUUAAAUUGAAGUCACGAGUUAAACUCACAUUUAAUUUAAAUUUAAUAAUUCAUAAAUUUAGAUUUAAAUUGCAUAAUUAAAUUUAAUUAUGAUUUAAGAUGAAAUAAAAUUUUAAAUUUAAGAAGAUUAAAUUUAAUAUGUAUUUAAAAUUAAAUAAAAUUUAAUUGUAUUUCAGUCAAUAAAAGUUAAUAUAACAAUAAUAUUAGUUAAUAGUAUAUGAUAUAAUUUGAAAAUUAUCAUUUUUAAAAAUAAUAUAUAAAAAAAUUUAAUAAAAAAUAAAGUUAUUCGUUAGAAAAAAAGGAAUUUAAAUUUUUUCGUUUAUCCUAUUUCUUUUGGUGUAAGAAAAAGAAAAGCACUACAAUUUUUUCUGCUAAAAUGGAUUAGUUGAUGGGAUCUAAAUUAAAAAAAUACAUGAUUUUAUAUAUAAUUGAUAUAGAUAUGCAUUUUAAAACGAAUAGAGGGUACGGAAUCUUUAAUAACGUAAGUUCUUAUGAAUAUUAUAUUGAAAUAUAUUAAGAUUUAAUUUUUACUUUCUGUGCUUAAUUAUUUUUAUUUUUAUUUUUAUUGUGUAAAAUAUUAUUUAGUUUCGCUUUUGUAUUCUAAAUUUAUAUAAGAAAAAACUACAAAUAUUAUCCAUAUUUUCUCACUUUACUAUCAUGUGGUUUAAAUUAUAUCAGUUUAGUGCCCCUUGGUUUUAUCUUUAUUUUUUUAUUAUCGAUUUUACUAAUUUUUUUUAUUAAAUCAGUGACAAAAUUAAAACUAAAAAAUAAAGUAAAUAUUCGAUAAACUUAGAUGGGUUAUCUAAAGUUUUUUUAUAUAUAGUUUAACGAAAUAUUAACAGAAAAGUUGACGAAAAGAUAAAAAUGAAACCAUAUGACAUUAACUUGGUAAACUUUAGAUCACAGAAUACUGAAUUGAGAAAGUGUGAAAAUAUAACGGUGAUAUUGAAAGUUUACCCUUUGUAUAAAUAUCAUCGUUGGGUCCACAGUUUAUAUCGCCGGACCUGGCGCACGCAACGUUCCUCACGGGUUAGGCAAUCGACCGGGUCCACAGUUCAACAUCUUCAUGUGUAGGUCGGUUUGGUCGGUCCCAAUGAAACGCAAUAAUUACGCGAACAACACGGUAGACCGGGUCCAACAUUAAAUACUCUUAUUAUUCAAUGCUCAACCGCUCAAAGAGUCGGCGUUUGUUUUUAGGGUUUCGUCCGAAGCGCGUCUCGGAAAAGCUGUAACGUGGCCAUCACGUAGCGUCCUUAUCGGGAAGCGUUACGGGCGAUGGUAACCGACGAUCGCCCGUACCCCCCCCUCACCAAACAAAAAAAUUAGAGGCGGUUGUCACCGGUGAUCACCCGUAGCCCUCAACCUAAUCAGGAAAAAAAAUAUGGUGCAAUUACUUUAUAUAUAUAUUCCUAAAAUAUUUUUUACUUUUUAAUUUACUCUUUUUAAAAAGAAAUAUUAAAAAUAUUUUUUUAAUAUUUCAAAUUAUUUUAAAUAUAACUUCGGAGUUAAAUCUUAUUACUAAACUAUUAGCAACGUUAUCUCUAUAAAAUUUUUAUUUUACCUUUUCAAAUAUAUCUUUCCAUGGUCACCAAUUUUUUAAAUAUACCUUUAGAGUUAAAUUUUAUUACUAAACUAUUAUUUCUAUAAAAUUACUAUUUUACUUUUUUUAAAUAUAUUUUUUCACAAUCACCAAUUUUUUUAUUUAACUUUUCAAAUAUAUCAUUCUGUUUUUACUAAAUUUUUUAAUUUAUUAUUAAAUUAAGGUCAACCUGUUUAAUUAUAAAAAACUAAGUCUUGUGGGCAUGUACUAUAAUAUAAUUUUAUAUAUUUUUAUAAAUUUUGUAUAUAUUUAUACGCACAAAUACUAAUUUAUCUUUAUCGAGUGGGUAAAGUAGGUCAAUACAUAUAUUAAUUGUUUAAUAAAUACAGGAUAAACUUCAAAUAUCAUUUCUUAUCGUUUAGUAUUUUCUCAUUUUUAAUAUUCUAUGAUUUAAACUGCAUCAAUUUAGCAUUCUGUAAUUUUAUUUUUUUCUUUUGGUAAGUCCUCCGUUAACUUUUCGUUAAACCAUAUACAAUAAUUUUCAGAUGCUCCACCUAUAAUUUAUUAAAAUUUUAUUUUAAUAUAUUUUAUUUUAAACUUUGUAAUUAAUUUAAUAAAAUAAAAAAAUUAAUAUAGAGAAUAGUAAAAAAAAAUUACGGAGUAUAAAAUUAAUAUAUUUUAAAUCUUAAAAUACUAAAAUAAAAAAAAAGUAAGAAACACAUAAAUGAUAUUUAUUAGGAAAAACUUCAAAAACCCCCCUGUAGUUUCGUAGUUUUUCACUUUGCUUCCCUGUGAUUUAAAAUGUAUCAAAUUGCCCCUGUGUGGUUUCGUUUUUAUUUUUUCGGUAGCUUUUUCGUUAAUAUUUUAUUAAAUUAUAUACAAAAAACUUCAGAUACCCAUCUAGAUUUAUCAAAUAUUUAUUUUAGUACCUUUUAAUUUUAACUUUAUCAUUGAUUUAAGAAAAAAAAUUAAUAAAAUUAAUAAAAAAAGAGAAAAAAAAAAAUUAUCGGGAGCAAAUUGAUACAUUUUAAAUCACAGGACGAUAAUUGAGAAACUACGAAAUCAAUAGAGGUUUUUGAAGUUUCCCUAUUUAUUAAGCGGAUCAACCAAUUUCUUCCCCACGUCUCACGUUUGAGCGGGUAACCGGAAACGGACAGCUGUCGGUCGCCACGUUCCAUCUCAGCACCCACUACCGACGCCGACUCGUCUCCCGCGUUUCGCCCACCGGCGAAGAUCUUUUUUUAUUCGGUCGCAACUCGCACGAUACUUGAGGCGGCUAACUAGGUCCACACGACUUUGCCCUCCAUCUGCAUUAUUAUUACACCAAUGCCCUUCCAUCCCAUCAUACAGCUGUACAAGUCACCUUUAUAUUAUUUUAUUAAAAACUUGACGGAAUAAGUCCUUUUCCUCCUUUUAUUUUUAAUUUAAUUCGAUGGGAGGGGGAGGACAGCGUCUCCUCAAAGUGGCAUUACCGUAAUUUCUUGCAACGACAAGGGCAUACGCUUGGCUCCGUCGCCUAAUCGCCAUCAUUCACCGUCCAUUCAUCGUUUCCCGAAUCCAACGGCGCUCGAUCUCUCCUCCUCUCUAUAUAAUUCUAUUCCCCUCCUCCCCGCUGUAUCUCACAUUUCUCUCCCAUCUCUCGUUCGUGCGGUAACCUCACCUGCGUGCGUCCAUGUCCACGGUGGUGCUCCGAUCUGAGGACGCUCUCAAAUCCCGCUUCCACGCCAACGCCUUCGGAUACCGUCCUCAGCCUCCGAUGAACCCUCACCGGCGAAAGCCUCCGCCACCAGCGCGCCCCGCCGCCGCCGCCGCGGCUGCGCCGCCCUCUCCUCCGUCCCACAAACCGAGCCGCGCCGCCCCGGCGCGAAUCGGCCGGAAACCUAGACCCGCCGCCGGAGUCGGCAAGGAGAACGACGGCGGCCCCGCCGACGAGCUCCGCCACCACCGCCGGCGCCUCGUCAUGGAGGAGGUCACGAUCCUCAAGCGCGGCGAGGCGAUGAAACCCUCGGCCCCCGUUCCCCCCGGAUCCAACGUCGGAGACGUUCCGAUCGACCUCAAUCGGAGAAAGCUAGGGUUUCCAGCCGUAGACCCGGUCUUCGCCGGGCCCGGGUACUCCGUCUCCUCCCCCGCGCCGAGCUCCCUCCCCUACCCCGGCCUCUUGCUGAGGCCCCUCGCCGCGAGCGAGGAGGCGACGAGGAGCCUUCUCCGCCUCCUCCGGCUCAAUCAAUUCGCCCCGUGACGGUGCUCGUAGUUUCGAAUCGAUUCGCCGCGAAUUCGAGCCGAAGAAAAUUGGGAUUUUGAUGGCAGUUUGAAGAAGAUACGCCGUGGGCUGCGGAGAUCCGCGGCGGUUUCCGCUAGGGUUUCUCCGAUCACAUCACCUUCCUCUAUUUUUUCAAAAGGAAGGCGUGAUCCGGAGAAGCCCCGAUCUGUUUGUCUUUGUCGGCCACAUCUGAUUCGGUAUGUUGUGGUGUACUCUGCAUCUUGUCCUUUGUUCUUGUUCGGAUGGAAAAUUCUAGCGGAAAUUAGAUUCCAUUGUAGUAUGCGUAUUGGUAACCUAAAUUUAAGGGGAUUAGAUAGAUAUAGUAAUUGUGUGAGUUGUGUCUAAGUAUCAAGGAGAGUGAUGUUCCUAGUAGUUUGGGGUUUAGAUCACAAAUUGUUUUGCUUUAUCUAGUUGUGGAAAAAGUGGUGAUAAUUUUAGAGUGGGUGUGUGUACUUGUCAUGGAAUGAGGUCUAGUAAUUUUAGGUAUUUGAUGUUAGUGUUGGUGUACUAGUCAUGAAUCGAAGUUUAUUAUAUUACAUUGCUCUUUUUAGCGUCCGAGAAUGAGUGUGCAAUUCAAAUUGUCAACUUUUCAGUUAGAUUUAUCAUUGUUCAAUGUGUCUAUGCUCGAUUUUGUCGUGCAAUUAGAAUGUGUGAUCUGUUGUGUGUUAUAGUUGUGCUUGCGAAACGAAAAGAAAAAAAAUAACGGACUUGUUUUUUUGCCUUGGGUUCUUGCCUUGGGUUCUGUCACGCUUCGGCACCGCUACUGCCACUUUGGUCGGUUCGGGCAUGAGCAAAGAUCGCCGAACGGACAGAGUUUUUCUUGUCCGCUAACAUGGUGAAUGCUUGUAUUAGUGUAGUUGUUUUAUAUUUUGAUGUUUUAUGCAAUCUGUGUGUGAAUUCUGUUUCUAGUUAGAACCAUUUGAAUUGUACUGAUUGUGGCGCCUUGAGCGGAUAGGAAAAUUCUAUUCGUUCGGCGGUCUGUCUACGUGCCCGAACUGACCAAAGUGGCGGUCUUGGGACUUGACAGGUUCGCCUAUGGGACUUGGCCUGGUUCGUGCCAAACUUAAAUGGUCGGAAUUCGGUAAAUCUUCAACUAGGAACUGAUGAACUCCAACAAUAUGAGAUUUUGGCCUAAAACUCUGAAUGACCAAAACGUCGUCAUUAAGAUGAACUGCAGGCUGCUAUUCUCAACUGAUCUAAACUAUUUUACUUUUGGUAAAAAGAUGACAAUGUCUGUACUUUAGAAUCGGCUGUACUUUAGAAUCGUCUGAACAAUUGAUGUGCUGUUGCUGUCGUGUUGAAGAGAGUUUCUAAUUGAUGUGUUGUUGUUGUUGUGUUGAAGAGAGUUCUUUUCUCAGGUCCCUGCGGCAUUUAAUAGUCUGCAUGAUUUGAAUCAGACUCCUAUUAUUUUUGUUAACUCGAUAAUUUUGGCCGAAGCUUAUCUUGUAACUGAAUCUCGAUAACUUAGGCCAAAUUCAAUAACUUAGAGACCCCUAUCUCUUCCUAAACAGGUAAUGGGUUGGAUUGCCUUCUGCUCUCUCUGUCCAACGACUGAAUUUGGCUUCAACAAGUUGUGAAUAAGAAAAAAUAUACAAGUUGUGUUAUAUAAUGGUUUAAUAAAUCAAAAGAGUAAUUACGAGAAUUGCAAUUAGAUGAGUCAAUGAUUUGGUUAGUAGUUAUGAUAAUAAUGAUAAUAAUAAUUAUGAGGAUACUGUCGCCGUAUAAUUGAGAUUGGUACCAAAGGUUUUGCAGAUUGGUUUGUAAGUUUCGAACUUGAACACCUAGAUAUUUAAUCCUUUUAUGAUGAGAUAUGAUGAUUAUUUAAGUAUGCUGAAGUGAUUGUCUUAAAAUAUGAUUAAAUGUGAAUAUUUCUAUUUGAAUGAUGGUUAGUUUCACAAUUGAAAUGAUCAGUAACCGGGGUUAGUAUCCUAUUUCCCCUGCACAGUUGCACAGUAGAGUUCAAUGUUAUAUUGGUUCUGAAUAUUCUGCACUUUGGUAUUUAAACAGAAAUGCAUUGUCUUAAAAGUAUCACAAAUGAAAUUAGGAGUGUUUGUAACUUUUUGAUUUGAAAUUAAAGAAUUUCAACACUUCUUUGAGUGAAAAAUAGAAUCGGGAGCUCGAGUAUGUUUAGUUUAAUUUUAAUCUGUGAAAUUCUGAAGUUUGGGGGCGCAAGAUACAUAAACUGUGUUUAGCAUAGCUUCUCCUCUUUAUUCAGAGUCUGCAUUGAUAUGAUAAAUUUUGUGGUAAUGUAAUUGAGAAGUUCAUUUAGAAGGCCAUAGUGUGGCUAUUCCAAUCCAAGGAGCCUCAUCAGUUGAACAGCUAAGCUAUUUAGGGGUCAUUCGUUUUACAGAUUUAUAAUAUUCUAGAAAUGUUAGCAUAUUUGUUAUUAACUUAUCAUAUUAUUUGAGUGAGGAGGUUGUUAAAAACUUAUCAUAUCAUGAGUGAGGAGGUUGUUAAAAUAAAAACUUAUAUAUUCUUGUUAAUGGACAUUCCUUCCAAGUAUAAAAAUGACAGAGGCUCUGUUUGCACAUCGGAAUAGUAUACUCAGUAAUAACUGAUUUGGUAUGAGGAUGUUUUGUGUGAUUAGAAGUUAGGUUGAAGAAAAUUCUUGUGUGAUUUGAGAAAAUAAUGACAUUUAUGACUCGGUAGAAUAGUAUAUUUUACUUGCGAGGUAAUUAAUCUUAGGUGAAAUCACAUAUAACUUAUCCAAAUUAUAGAUCGUUUGUUUUGGCUUCCAAAUCUUUUAAAAUUUUGAUUUCACUAUUCUACAUUCAAUUUUUUUUUAUUUAAGUUAGUUAACGACAUUUUGACUUCAAAAUUAGAAUAUAUUAUUCAUGUGUUGAAGAUUCAAUUAGUAUUGAAUAAUUAAUUUGCUUAAUUUUAAAGUCAAAGUGCCGUUGAUUGAUUGGUAGUAGAGUUGGGAGUGUCAACAAUGUAAUUAUCAAAUCGUAAUAAUGACCGGAAUACUGAAAUUGGGUCUUUUUGGCCUAAUUAUCGGGUUGGGUGUGCUUGGCCGUGCUUGUUGCUGGCCAUAGAUUCGUUAUGGUCGCAUUCCAAGUGGAAAUGACUCGGGAGUGAUCUUGUGGUUGUCGACUAUCCGGAUGCUGAAAUUGGCAUCCUUGGAACUUCUUGGGGCGGAAACUUUGUCGUUUUGGCACAUUGGUUGUGCUCUUGGACUAUGAAACUUGUGGAAUGUUUUUCGGAGGUUCCUCGCUAAUUGAAACUAGCAGUAUGGGUGUUUCUAUCUUUUGUUGGUUCAUGCGCCAAGAUUGGCACACGUUGGAAACCAUUGCGGCUUAGUUUUGGAGUUGAGGCCUCUAUGGUUGCACACCCUAUGUGCAGUUGUCUCAACACCUAAAUUGGAGUAUCUGGGGACAACGAGUUAUCUAAAUUGGAGUAUCUGGGGACAACGACUUAUCUAAAGAGACCUACGACUAUGCUCGAGACCUUUAAUGGGUUGAUUGGAGGUCUUGGCGAGGUUCGAAAAUUGAUUAAAGAAAUCAAUGUUCUAAUCGCACUGGUUCUUGUUAUUGGCUACUUAGUAAUGUGGAUUGUUGUUGACUUGAUGUUUGGGAUUUGUUUGGACUCUAGUAGAGUCGGCUCAUGGGGUUGUUCUAGUUUCAGAAGUUGAAUUUUGAAACCAAUGCUUCGAAUAUGUUGUUGUGCACUUUGUUGUGGUUUGUGUGUGUCAGUUUAUGUCACGGACGCGUAAUGGCUUGUAUUGAUGCUCUGGUGAUUAUGUUUAGGUUCACGAGACACCUAGAGGCAUUGGAGUCGCGAACUCAGAUAUACCUGGUAUAUAGAUGGGUUUUUAGAUCCAUAGUCGGUGUAGUAGUAUUGUACUCGAUUAUUCUAUUAUGCUUCUAAUAUGUAUCCUAUUGAGUAGAUCGAUUUUAUUUUGCUUCAUUAUUAUUCCUGUGUUUUGCUCUACCUUUUAGCUAUGGGCAUCGUUAUAUCAUGUUGUGGGUGAUAACCGGUUGGUAGAGUGGUUUAUAUAGAUCAUUAUGAUAUUAUACGUGUGUGUUUACUCUACAUAUCGACUUACUAUUAUAUUUAUCUUUACAUGCUACAUGGCUAUCAUGUAUGUGUCCCUUAUCAUGUUGGAUGUAUGACGCGUAGAUUAUAGUGUAAGAAUGUUUUAAUCACGUCUGUCUAUCAAGUACGUGUUCAGAUGCAUUUUAUCUAUUGGAUCGACCUGUAUCCUUAGGAAUUGUCUUGAAUAAAUGUAAUGGCUGGGGUGUAGAGAAGAUUAGGGCAAGCAUGAGAGUAACCAGAGUAGAAAGAGGAAAAGGGUAUAGAGGGGAAGAGAGGUAGAUUCGGUGAGAUCCAGAGGAAUAAAGGUGUAGUAGUGGUCUUGGUAUUGGGUCGGCUGGGUGAAUACCCGGUCGAAUUGUACUUGUUGGACGUCCAUGGCAGAGGGCGCUAGGCUCAAAUUGCUCAGCAAGCAUGUCCAUGCCUUGGAGCAAAGGCUGCAGGGGCUGGCAGUGGGGAACAAUCGAAAGUUCGAGGAGCUGAAUUGAAAGAUUAAGGCUAUGCAAGCAGAGGACUAGAACCAUUAUGAAUCCCUGCGAUGCGAAACUGCAAAUUCAUCGAAGAGGCCGGAGCAACUUAUGGAUCUAUUAUCGAAUCAGCAGCAAUUAUCAUCAUCGAAGGAACUCGCAAGCUGGACAAUGGCACCAAGAGUAUCUAAAAGGCCAAUGUUGUGCAGUGGCUCAGUUGAUUAGCCUAGAAGAAGAGAAGCAGGAAGAGAUACCCGACCAAAUACGAAAUAUGUUGCAGAAAUUGGAGGAUGUGUCUCAUGAGCCGCAGGGGUUGCCUCCUAUUAGGCCACAAGACCAUAAAAUAUCCUUGCAGAAAGGAGCACAAGCAGUCAAUAUCAGAUCAUAUAGUUAUACAGAGAAGUAGAAGUACGAAAUGGACAAGAUUAGAGAGAUGCUAGAUACCGGAGUGAUCCAACGUAGUAACAGUCCAUACGCCUCUCUGGUCCUAUUAGUUAAGAAAAAGAAGAAAAAGGAUGGGAAUUGGAGGUUUUGCAUUGAUUAUCGUCAACUGAACAAGCUCACAAUUGAGAGUAAGUAUCCGAUACCCAUAAUCGAUGACUUGCUAGAUGAGUUAGGAGGUUCGAGAUAUUUUUUCAAGAUAGACUAGAGGUUUGGGUAUUAUCAAAUACGAAUGUGCACCGAUGACAUACCAAAGACGACCUUUAGAACUCAUAUGGGCUAUUAUGAGUUCAGAGUCAUGCCUUUCGAACUCGCGAAAGCCCCAGUGACCUUCCAAUCUGUAUUUGCUAUUCUACUUUGUAGGUAUGUUUUGAUUUUUUUUCAACGAUAUAAUGGUAUACAGUAGGACAUUAGAAGAUCACGUUGCCCAUUUGGAAGAAGUGUUAAGAAUACUUGAGGGAAAUUGAUUGUUCACAAAAAGUCCAAACGCUUCCUUGGCCAGGAGCAAGUUGAGAACCUAGGACACAUUAUCACUCAGCAGGGGGUGGCUACGGACCCAAGUAAGGUGGCAGCUAUGCUGCAAUGGGUAGCACCUAUGUCAAUUAAAGGGGUUGAGAGGAUUCCUGGCCUCACAGUAUACUACCGCAAGUUUGUUCAAGGGGUAUGGAGCUAUAAGUAAAUCCCAUGCUAAACUUUUGAAGAAGAAUAGUUUCCAUUGGACAAUAGAAGCGCAGGAAGCUUUCAACAAAUUGAAGAAGUUAAUGAUCGAGGUCCUCGUGCUCGCCAUGCUCGACUACUUCAAGCCAUUUGUGGUGGAGGUAGAUGCUUGCGACUAGGGAAUAAGGGUUGUAUUGACAUAAGAAGAUAAACCCUUAGCUUACCUUAGUGGCCAUUAGCAAGAAAUCCGGGGUUGUCCACAUAUGAAAAGGAAUUUCUUGCUAUACUAUUAGCAGUCUCUAAGUGGCGGCGUUUUCUUAAGUAUGAAGCAGUUUAUCAUCAGAACGGAUCACGAGAGUUUAAAGCACUUUAUAGAGCAAAAGAUCAACACUGCUACCCAACAGGAAAGGAUGCUUAAGUUGAUGGGACUCAACUAUAUAAUACAAUACAAGAAAGGAAGAGAGAAUAGGAUGGCGGAUGCCUUAUCACGCAAAGAAAUUGAGGAGAGCAGUAGUCAAGCCAUUUCGGGAGCCAUUCCAGCUCGGGUAGUUGAGAUAACCAACAGCUAUCAGGGAGAUGAAGAGUGUCAGAGACUGAUAGCCCAGUUAACAGUACAGCUAGACACUUAAGGAGCCUACAAUUAUACACAGGAGCUGCUACAAUACAACGAAAGGCUGUAUGUGGGAUCAGGAGAGGGGAUCAGCAGAAGUUACCCAGUCAAAUGCAUGACUCAACCCUAGGAGGCCACUCUGGACAACAAUAUACCUAUACAAGGAGCAAGAAGAUAUUUUACUGGCCAAGGCUCAAAAGUGAUGCGGAGAGGAUAGUAGGGAACUGCACGGUAUGCAUACAGAACAAGUUCGACAAUCAGCCUUACAUCAGUAAGAAAAGUGUCAAAGAUUGAUAGCCUAAUUAACAGUACAGCCAGGCACCCAAGGAGCGUACACUUAUACACAGGAGCUACUGCGAUACAACAAAAGGCUGUAUGUGGGAUCAGGAGAGAAGAUCAACAGAAGUUACUCGGUCAAAUGCAUGACUCAACACUAGGAAGCCAUUAUGGAUAGCAGUAUACCUAUAGAAGGAUCAAGAAGAUAUAUUUUACUAGCUAGGGCUCAAGAGUGAUGUGGAUAGUGAGGAACUGCAUGAUAUGCAUACAGAACAAAUUCGACAAUCAGCCUAAUGCUGAGUUGCUACAACCGAUACCAGUUCCCCACCAAGUAUGGAGUGAAGUAAGUAUGGACUUCAUUGAAGGACUACCAAGGUUGGAAGGAAAGGAUUCUAUAAUGGUGGUAGUUGACAGAUCCACGAAGUAUGCCUAUUCUAUUCCUCUUACUCCUAUACGGCUUCAGUGGUGGCCAAAGCAUUCUUCGACACGGUGUACAGACUACAUGGACUGUCGGAAAAGAUCAUUUUUGAUGAGGAUAGAAUCUUUACAAGCGAAAUAUGGUAAGGACUAUUCAAGAUAUUUGGGACCAAGCUAUACAUGAGUUUGCCCUAUCACUCCCAGACUGACGGGCAAGUAAAGAGGCUUAACCGAUGUCUGGAGAUCUACCUCUGAUGUAUGUGUUUACAACACCCCAAAAAAUGGCAUAAGUGGAUCACACACGCGGAAUGGUGGUACAACUCGAACUAUCACACUUUAUUUGGGAUGACUCCCUACGAGGCCUUGUAUGGGAAGCCACCGCUGAGUUAUAUAAUGGCUAAUUUUACACAGAACUCAACGAGUGAGGCAACCGGAUGGGGCUAAGUAGAGAAAAAAGAUGGCUAAGGGGUUAAUAAACAACCUCUUAAGGGUGCAAAACAGGAUGAAGCAGUUUGUCGACCGCCGUAGGGUGGAUCGAGAGCUUAAUGUUGGCGACUUGGUUUACUUGAAGCUGCAAUCUUACCGUCAACAAAUGGUGGCAGUGCGAAGGAAUCUCAAACUGUCGUCUUGCUAAUUUGGAUCCUUCAAGAUUUUAGAAAAGAUCGGACUCGCAGCCUACCAGCUGCACAUGCCGGAGAGGUUGAAGGUACAAUCAAUUUUCUAUUUCUCUCUGCUGAAAAGAAGUCCACCUGAAGAAAGACCCGUCUCAAUUAUCGUGCCUUUUGCUGGAGAUGACGGCCAGUUGCUGGCGGAACCUGUAGAAAUCCUCAACCGGAAUAUGGUACGGCGCGGAAACAUAGUAACCCAAAUUCUGGUAAGGCGGAGCAACUUGUCCUCUAACCAAGCAACCUGGGAGUAUUACUUGUUCCUCAAGUCACAAUUCCUGACUUUCUAUUCUUGAGGACAAGGAUUAUUUUGAAGAGGGAAGGAUUGUAAUGGCUGGGGGCUGAGGAGAUUCGAGCAAGCAUGACAGUUACCAGAAUAGAAAAAGGAAAAGGAUAUAAAGGGAGGGAGAGGUAGAUUCGGUGAGAUCUGGAAGAAUAAAGUAGUAGUUGUGUUGGUAUUGGGUUGGGUGAUCCGAUAUCGGGUCGAAUUGUACUUGCUGGACUGAGGGUUGCUCAUCGAGCUAGGCCCAACAGGAAAGUCCAGCCUGAUAGAGGAUUGGGAGCUCAGAUGAUCUAUUUGGAUAUUCCAUUUCUCUUAUUGUCCUUAGUUUUAUGAAAUUGCAUGUUACUCCUUAUGUAAUAGAUAUAAAUAGUAAAAAGGGUAUAAAGUGUAAAGGAUAAUGAUGAACAAAAUUACUUUCUUCUUCGUCAAUCUCUUUCCGCUCCUUUUUCUUUGAUCUUCUCCUCUUUCUCACUCACCUUCGACUUAAUUUGAGGAUUCUAUCAUCUCCAUCCUGAGAUCCUCAGAGCGAGAUCAUCAUCUAAUCCCAUGAUAGAUCAGGGUAUUACAAUAAAAUCACGUAGGGCGCAUCCAACAAAUUAUACUCUUACAUUAUGCAUUUAUAGAAGAGAUUCUGUCUGUUUGUACAAAGGAGAUUCUAUUCAUAUAGUGGGUUUGUGCAUGCGGGGUAUAUUUUUUACUUUGGAAAGAAAAUUGCUGUGUCUGUACUAAAUUCUGUUUUUAAUAUAGAAAGGUUAAACAAAAAAAGUCUCAUAGCAUGACAACUGCGAUUUUAUGUUUUAACAGAUUUCUUAAUUUUUGUUCUCCAUUUUUACAAUAUUGUUUAUUAGAGAUGGAUUUUUUUUUUUGAGAAAUAGGUAGCAUGCUACCCGCUUCGUUUAUUUUAUUUAGAAAUAAAAUUAGCUGAAAAUAUGAAUCAAUUAGGAUUCGAACUUGGAAUCUCGGAUACCAACCACCAAGCUCUUUGCCACUUGCACUAGGGAUAGUUGGUAUCUGAGAUGGAAAAUUGACAAGAAAAAGGGGAUGGUGAGUGUGUUGGAUGUGGCUCACGUGAUAUAUUCAAGUCGAUCCAUAGAGAUACGGUCAAUCUAUUUAAGUCGAUCUAUAAAGAUACUGUAGAUCUUACGGUUAGGAUGUAUUUGGACACGUCAUUGAUGGACGGACGUGAUUUAACAUUCUUAUAUUAAGUUAUAUAUAAAUAUAUAAUAUUCGGGAGUCUCGGUCUAACCCUAAUCCAAUUAUCUGUGACUGCUCCAUCUCCGGAGAUAAGGGAAUUAAACUCUAAACGUCUCGUCUUUUUGCAGAUCGCGAACGAGAACGAACCACUAGCAAAAGUCGCCGCCUACAAAUCGGGUACAGAAAUCGAAAUCAUGACAGAAGGUACGAUCUUAGUUUUUUAUAAAGUUUCAACAUGUGGUAUCAGAGCCGCAUCUUUUGCCGGAUUUUUGUUUCUUUCCGAAUUUCGUUUAAUUUUUUGUUUCCAUUAAAUAAAUAAAUAAGUUUGUUGAUGGUUUGCGUCAAUGAUGAUGUCGGCCGGCCUCAAUCGAGACCGGCGUUCGGAAGAACGGCGUCAUCGGCCCGGCCGAAUUAUGCGAUAACACAAAAAAAAAAAAUGUGGUCUGCGGUCGGUCGGUUGGUAAACCUGCAUCGCCACAUCAGUCGUGCUAGGAGCGGCCAAGAAGGGGUUGCGCUAUGCAUUCCCAUUAGGGCCGCAAGGAGGCAGCCCGUGAUGGGGCUGCCUAGCUGGCGAUCAAAGUAGUCAAGCACAAAAAAAAAAAAGAAAAAAAGGAAAAGAAAAAGUAAAGGGUUGCAGGUCGCAAGCCACGUGGCUGCCAUGUGUAGCCCCAUGCGGGGCCCACCGCAAAAGAAAAAAUUUUUUAUUUAUUUAUUUAUUUAUUUUUAACGAAAAAUAAAAAAAAUAUAGUUUUGCUUAAUAAUUUUCUUUGCAAUGUGACUUAUUUAGAGGAAGUCUAUAUAUUAAAGUUAUGUAUAACUUUUGGUAUUUGUUAUAUAUAAUUUCUGUUCUACUCGCUUGUUUAUUUAUGAUAUAAAAUAAUAUGUUUAGUUUAAUAUUUUACGGUAUAUUUUUUGCAUUAUUAUUCUAAACACACAUAAGGUGAUUAUGAAAAUUUAGAGUAGCGUAUAUAGACUUCACACAAUUUAUAAAUUUUAAAUCACAUAAGGUUUUUAAGAAAAUUAUUCAAGACUUUUAUUCUUUUUCUGCUGCGUUUUGGAAUAAUAUGAAAUUUUCGGUCAUUCAUAUCAUAUACGGACUUGUGAGAUCAACUAUGUCUAGGAGUAGCCACAGCAUCCUAGUCUUGGUAUAUGAUCACUUACGGUAUUUUUAUAAAAUGAUAUUGAAUUAAAGUUAACCCGAAAAUUCAUAUGGAUUUCCAAUUUAUUUUUAAAUAGUCAUUCAAUAUCAAUAAGGUUAUUUGUAUUUUUCGUUAUGCUCAAGAGUAACCACAGCAUCCUAUAGAUAAUGAAAAAUAUAUAAGGUAUUAUUGAUAUUCAAUUAAAGUUUGACUAUUUAUUGCAGCCAAACUAAAUAAUUUUCUGAAUUUUGACUGGAAUAAGAUAGUGGAUUGAAUUUCUAGAUAGCGAGCUUUUCUAUGCCCACAGGUACAGGAAUCUUGUUGCUUAGAAAUUAGUUUUAUAUUAGUCUUAUUAUUAAAAUAGAUAAAUUCUAUGCGUGUAGCGGCUCUGGCUACAGGAAGGUAGAAUUUAUCUAAUCUAAAAAUUAUUAUCUUAUAGUAGGCGAUAAAGUUCAAUAUUUUCUUUGUUUUUGCAGCUUCUUCCUCUACUGCAUUUCUUAAUAAUAUUUCUCGUAUCCCUAUGCUUAUUGGGGAUAAUUAUUCUGAUUGGAAAGAAAUUAUUUCUUUUACUUUGGGCUAUAUGGAUUUAGACUUGGCUCUGCGCGUUGAGCAACCGCCUAAGGUAGUGGGGCAACUGACUCCACAGCAGGAAUUCGAGCAGGAAAAGUGGGAGCGAUCCAACCACUUAAGUUUGAUGCUCAUAAAGUCUAGAGUAUCAAAAAAUAUAAGGGGAUCGAUUCCAGAAUGUGAUAAAGCCAAGGAUUACCUAAAGGCUAUUGAGGAGCAGUUUGUCAGCUUCUAUAAAGCUUGGCUCGAAAAGAAAGGUAUUGAAACUAUUUAUAUUUAUUAUGAAUUUCAUUUAGUUAAUAUUUCUAAAAACACAUGGUGGAUUGACUCUGAAACUACUGUACAUAUCUCAAAUACCAUGCAGGAUUUUCACAACCUAGCAAUAUUGAAGCCAAAUGAAAGAAUUUUAAUUAGCGGAGAAGGAAAUAAAUCUGAAGUUGAAGCCGUAGGAAAGUUUAUUUUAGAAUUUAGUACUAGUUUUGUACUUGAACUUGAGGAUACUUUUUAUAUUUCUAAAUUUUCUGGAAAUUUAGUUUCUGUUUCUAAAUUGAGAAAUAAAUGCUUCAAAUUUUUAUUUGAAAAUAAAUCUUUUACUAUGUUCUUCGAUAAUAUUAUUGUUGGCAAUGGUUAUUUGAUAGAUGAUUUGUACAAAUUUAAUUUGAGUCAAUCUUUUGAAAAUAAUUUUAAUGUUAAUAAUGGUAUUGGUGUUAAAAGAAACAUUCUUAAAGAAAACUCCUCUUAUUUAUGGCAUAAGUGUUUAGCUCAUAUCUCUUUAGAGAGAAUAAAGAGAUUGGUAAAAGAAAAGAUCUUACAAGGUCUCGACUUUACUAAUUUUGGUACUUGUGUGGAAUAUAUAAAGAGAAAGCAUACUAAUACAAAUAUCACUAAAGGUGCCAGAAGGAGUUUUGAAAUUUUUGAGAUCAUACAUACAAAUAUGUGGACGUUUUCCUACUCCUUAUUUCAAUAGUCAGAGCUAUUAUAUCUCAUUUAUUGAUGACCAUUCAAGAUAUAUGUAUCUCUAUCUUUUAUUUGAAAAAGCUGAGGCUUUUGAUGCUUUUAAAGUUUAUAUAAGGUUGAGAUAGAGAAACAAUUGGAUAGGAAAAUCAAGAUUGUAAGAUCCGACAGAGGGGAUGAGUAUUAUGAAAGACAUACGGAUAAAGGUCAAAUGACCGGUCCAUUUGCUCAAUUCCUCGAAGGUGAAGGUAUUAUUGCAUAGUAUACGAUGCCUGGCAUGCCCCAACAAAAUGGCGUUGCCGAAAAGAGGAAUAGAACACUCAUGGACAUGGUAAGGAGCAUGAUUAGCAACUUUUGUUUUCCAUCUUCUCUUUGGAGUGAGGCACUAAAAACAGCGGUGUAUAUUUUAAAUAGAAUUCCAUCGAAGGUUAUUUCCAAAACUUCUUUUGAGUUUGGAAAGGAUGGAAACUAGUUUAAAUCACCUGCAUGUAUGGGGAUGUCCAGCUGAGGUGAGGGUUUAUAAUUCACAUAUAAAGAAGUUGGAUUCCCGAACGGACAGUGAAUAUUUCAUUGGCUAUGCGGUAAACUCCAAAGGAUUCAGGUUUUAUUGUCCAAAUCACUCAUCCAAGAUAGUUGAGGCCAGAAAUGCCAAAUUCCUUGAGGAUUUUGAAGCUGGUGGGAGUGUUAUUUCUCAAAAGAUGAAUUUUGAGGAAAUAAGGGAUUCAAUUGGUUAUCCAUCAACAGAUAAUAAUCUAGUUGCUCUUCCAGGAGGUCAAUUUGACCGUAAUGGAGAUCAACUAAUCUUAGAACAUGAAAAUGCUGAAUCAGUUGAACCUCUCCAUGAAGAUCUGUCUCAAGAGGAACAAAUAAUUAUAGAGCCAGCUGCACAGAAUAAUAAAAAUCUGCAGGAAGAGGUUGGCUUAAGAAGAUCCUCAAGACAAAGGAGAUCGGCAAUUCCUGAUGAUUAUAAAAUCUAUUUUCAUGUGUCUGACUUUGAUGUCGGACACCAUAAAGACCCAUGAACGUUUUCAGAAGCCGGCAUGGAGAUAAAUCCUCCCUAUGGUAUGAUGCCAUAAAGGAAGAGAUGAAAUCUAUGGUGCAUAACAAAGUUUAGGAUCUCGUUGAGUUACCACAGGGAGUCAAAGCUAUUGGCUGUAAAUGGGUCUUUAAGACCAAAAGGAACUCUCUAGGUAAUAUAGAACGAUAUAAGGCCAGACUUGUUGCUAAAAGUUUCACUCAAAAUGAAUGCAUUGAUUAUCAUGAAACCUUCUUUCCAAUAUCAAAGAAAGAUUCAUUAAGAAUUAUUAUGACUUUGGUAACUCAUUUCGAUUUAGAGCUACAUCAGAUGGAUGUAAAAACGACAUUUCUAAAUGAGGAUAUAGAGAAGAUAGUCUAUAUGCAACAACCCGAAGGUUUUAGCACAGAUGAAAAUAAUCACCUUAUUUGCAGACUAAAGAAAUCUAUAUACGAACUUAAACAGGCUUCCCGUCAGUGAUAUAUUAAGUUCCAUAAUGUAAUUACUACAUUCGGUUUCGUAGAAAAUAUUGUAAAUCAGUGCAUAUACCUUAAGGCUAGUGGGAGUAAGUAUAUUUUUUUAGUCCUGUAUGUAGAUGACAUUUUGUUUGCAAGAAAUGAUUUGAGUUUGCUUAAAGAAACUAAAGAUUUUCUUUCUAAGAAUUUUGAGAUGAAGGAUAUGGGUGAGGCUUCUUACGUCAUUGGCAUAAAGAUUCACAGAAAUAGAUCUCAAAGAAUUUUCGGUCUAUCUCAGAAAGCCUAUAUUGAAAGAGUUCUAUAAAGGUUUAAUAUGGCGAACUAUGCACCUACAGCUGCGCCUAUUAUAAAAGAUGACGGGUUCAAUCAGAAAUAGUGUCCUCAGAAUGAUUUAGAACGAGUGCAUAUGAAGAGCAUACCCUAUGUCUCUGCAGUAGGGAGUUUGAUGUAUGCGCAGAUCUGUACCAGACCUGAUAUAGCUCAUGCAGUGGGGAUGUUGGGUAGAUACCAAAGCAACCCUGGCCUUGAUUAUUGGAAAGCUGCAAAGAAAGUUAUAAGAUAUUUACAGGGAACAAAGAAUUAUAUGCUCACCUACAGACAUUCUGAACAUCUUGAGGUGGUUGGAUAUUCAGACUCUGAUUUUGCUGGAUGCGUGGAUUCUAGAAAAUCUACAUCAGGAUAUAUUUUCUUAUUUGCUCAAGGUGCUAUAUCUUGGAGGAGCACUAAGCAGGAUACAGUUGCUACAUCCACUAUGGAAGCAGAGUUCAUCGCUUGUUAUGAGGCUUCGUCAUAAGUUUUAUGGCUGAGAAAUUUUAUCUCAGGUUUUAGAGUUGUCGACUCUAUCUCAAGGCUAAUUAAGAUUUAUUGCGACAACUCUGCUGCAAUGUUCUUUGCAAAAAAUAGUCGAAUUACAGAUCGCAGCAAACAUAUAUCGAUAUAAAGUAUCUUGCUGUGAAAGAAUACGACAAGAAGAAGGUCGAUAUCCAACACAUUAGGACUGAGAUGAUGAUUGCUGAUUCUAUAAGUAAAGCAUUGCCGGCAAACAAAUUCAAGGAUCAUAUUCAUCAUGUGGGUAUCUUGAGCCCAUUUACAGUUUAAGUGUUUUCUUUUUGUAUAAAGACUUUAAAAACUAUUUUUAUUUGAAUAAGAACACAUUUUGAUUUUUGCACAUAUGCGCAUAAAGUUAUCUUUUGUACAUAAAGUAUUAUUGUGCACUAAAGUAGGACUCUGAGUUGAACUUAUAAUAAGUUCAUAUGGUUGUAACUCAUAAAGUUAUUUGAUUAAGGAAUACGUGCUUUUGUUACAUGGAAGGGAGCGUUCAUCUUUUGGGGCAUAACCGCUAUGAUCAAAGUAUUGUGAUUUUUUGGUCGAGUGGGAGAUUUUGACUGUGUAAUUUAGUUGGUACCUAAUAAAGUUUCUGUUUCAUCUAUACAGUAAUAAAUAUAUCACAAGGCCAAGUGGGAGAAUGUGGAUGUGGCCCACGUGAUAUAUUCAAGGCGAUACAUACAGAUACGGUUAAUCUAUUUAAGUCGAUCUAUAAAAAUACUGUAGAUUUUACGAUUAUGAUGUAUCUGAACACGUCCUUGAUGGACGGACGUGAUUUAACAUCCUUACAUUAAAUUAUAUAUAAAUAUGUAACAUACGGAAGUCCCAGUUUAACCCUAAUCCAAUUAUCCGUGACGGCUCCAUCUCCGGAAAUAAGAGAAUUAGACUCGAAACGUCCCUUCUUUUUGCAGAUCACGAACGAGAACAAACCACGAGCAAAAGUCACCGCCUAUAAAUCGGGUACAGAAAUCGAAAUCAUGACAAAAGAUACGAUCUUAGUUUCUUAUAAAGUUUCAACAGAGUGUCCUUUGAUGCUUUGUGCCUAACAUAAACUGUUUCCACGGUGACGGGAAAAAAAAAUGUAUGGGUUAGUUUCUAGGCUCCUUCCAAUUUUCAUUAGAGUAGAACUCUUGCUUUUAUCCUAGGCUAAAAUUUUAGAGCAAUGCUUCUUGUAUACUUAUUAUAGACUAAGUAUGAUAUUUAUAUUUUAUUCAUUUAAAUUUCAUUAUUUUUCUACAAAUUUUUUAAAUAUUAGAAACCUAUAUAUAUUGUUUUAAUGCUGGGAUGAGAGGCAUAUAAGUUAAAAUCUAUAUAAAGAUGCAUAGAUAGGAUUUUUCCCCAACUUUAAAGCUCAUCAAAAGGAGACAUUUUAGCCCUCCACUUUUUCUUUUUUCAAAAAGAAAAGAACCAAUUGACAAUUGACAAUAUAUCACUACAAGUUUAGAAUAUUAAAUAUAAAAUAUUUUAUGUAUUUCUACGAACUUUGUAAAUUAGCAAAUAUAGUUAAUCGCAAAUAUAUUUAUUAACUAGUUAAAUGGCAUCAUAUUUUAGUUAAAAAAAAUUUAUUUAUUUAUCUGCUUCAUCGUUUUUAUUGACUCCGCAAUCGAAAAUAUUAUAGAAGAAAAAGAAAAUAGAUCAAACCGUCAUAAUUUAUCGAUAAAAAGCAACAAAGCUUGAUCUCGCUAGUCAUUAUAUUAGUUAGUAUACGAUGAGUUUUAACUAGCUCUAUAAAUUUUUAAGAUUUACAUGAUUAUAUAAAAUAUUUUAAAAAGUAGACAAAUUAAUAUACAAUAUCCUUAUUUUGCAGGGAUAUGCAUGCAAUUAUUAAUGUAGUGUCAUUGAUUAACAGCUGUCCUUUUUUUUGGCUUUAAAGAAAACAAAAAUUUAUUGUCAUAUAAAGCAAAUAGAUAAAGUAGCUUUUUAUGCCCUAGCCUAUUUUCUUCUUUCUUUUCUUUUCUUUUCUUUUUUUUUGACAGAUAAAUAGCAUGUUACCUGCUUUGCUUAUUUUAUUUAGAAAUAAACUUAGCUGGAAAUGUGAAUCAAUCAGGAUUCGAACUUAGAACCUCGGGUACCAACCAUCACGUCCUUUGCCAUUUACGCUAGGGACGAUCGGUUGCCCUAGCCUAUUUUCAUCUUCCAUUAGUGCAUUAUAAGUAUUUGUUUGACUAAAGUUGACACAAUACUUUUUUCUAAAAAUAUUUGUUCAUUAUGUAGCCUAACUUCAUACUUUACUUUGAGCUAUUAGUAAUUUUUGAUACAGUAUUUGUUAAGCAGAAUAGUUUGAUCGUUUUAAGUAUAGCACAUACACUAAAAAAAAAAAUUGUUGAAAUAAUUUGAAAAUAAUGUGGCAGCUAAAAUCACAAUUUAUGCUAUGAAAUGUUUUAAAAAUUUAAAGUACUUAUAAUCUUUCUUUCUUUAAUAAUAUAAAAUUAUAGUUGUGGUUACCGGCGGAGAAAUAUGUUGUCGUACAUGUGAGAUAUGUAACUUUAUUAAUAUAUAUAUAUAUAUAUAUAUACACUAUACCAGAAAUAUUCGUGAAAAUGAUCUAUUAUUAUCAAGUUUAUUUGUAGCAUAAGGUUAUGAGAAUAGUAUAAAUGGGUUGUUUAUUGAAUAAAAUGAUAUAAGGAUAAAUUCAUAUCCAAUGCUGGCUACGGUAGCCAGUUAGUUAGAAAAUUUGCUGUUGCAAAAGUUUCGACCCAAAAAUGUUUUCGCGCAUCAGCUUCAUUAACAUGGCUAAUCUGAGUUCCACUGCAUGCCUUUGUUUGCGUUCAGCAACACUAUUCUGUUAUGGUGUUCCGGAUAUAAAUUACAUUACUUGAUCAGUUCUGAAAUUAUCAAAUCCGACGAGUUAAUUAAGCUUGAGCAUUAUAUUUGCUCUUCUGUGAUGCUUCUGUGCUUCUGGCAAUUAAGAAUAACCACUAAUGGGUUAGAAACCAUUUGCUGCACCAGUUAUGGGUUAUGUCUAAUCCUGUACCAGAUCCUACCCAUUAACACCCCUUUUGUUACAUGCUUUCAUCUUUUGAUACCUGAUUCUACAACACAUGAGCUUACAUUGCUUACAAUCUUAUUAUGAUUUACCAACUGAGGUGAAAGACACAUUAACGAACUAUAUUCAAAAGUUUAAUCUCAUUCGCUCAUUAAGCGAUGGAUGAGAUUAAGCCCUUCAUAUUUAAUUCGUCAGCGUAUCUUUCACUUGAGUCAGACACACAUUGUAUCUAUUUAUCGAUCUAUCACAGGUAAACGGUUUAUUUGUACUCGCUGGUAUCGGGCACCUGCAUUUCGGCCCCCCACCCGUCCUCGACGGCGGGGGCGGGCGGCAUGAUGCGCUUCCAGAGCCAGUGCCGCCUCCAGAGCAGCACCAUCUCCUCGAUCGGGAUGCCCUUCGUCUCCGGCAGAAAGACGUAGACGAACACCGUCAUGAUGGUGAUCCAGCCCGCGAAGAAGAGGAAGAUGCCGAACUUGAGGUUGCAGAGGAGGGAGAGGAACGCCUGCGCGAUCACGAAGGUGAAGAAGAGGUUGACGGCCACCGUGAUGCUCUGCCCGGCCGACCGCGUCUCCAGCGGGAAGAUCUCGCUCGGCACCGUCCACCCCAGCGGGCCCCACGACCACCCGAACGCCGCCACGAAGAGGCACACCACGACGACGACGAUGAUCGAGAACUCCUUCGACAGAUGCUUGUCGUUGCCGAAUUUCAGGCCCAGGAUGACAGCCACUAUGACCUGUUCCACAAAGUCGACGCCGAGUUCAGUCUGUCUUUGGAUUCUGAUACAGUUCUUGCUCAGUAGAGAGCUGUCAGGACAAAGUUACUGAUAACUUUAUCCAUCAAGAUCCACAAAAUGCUUUCUGAUCCAGUUAGAAGCAGAAUAUAAAAGCAAUUCACUGAUCCUACUAAAGCCAAAACCUGAAAUGAGCUUGAAAAUUUGAAUUCUAGCAGUUUUAAAAACCUCUAAUUCGAAGCUCCUAUUUCUAGCUGCCUCAUGCAAGAACUACAAGAAGUACUUAUCGCGGUGGCGGCGACCAUAAAUUUUCUUGAAAUUGAAGCUUCUGCUUUUAGAUAUAAACAUGUCCUGUUUCUUUAUGUCCUGACACAAAAAUUUACCUGACAUAUGAUCAUCUGAAUGCCGCCGCUUAUGAGCAGUACCCUCCGUCCCCACCGAUCGACGGUGGCGAUCGAGAUGAGCGUCGACAAGGCGAGCACGGCCCCUGUCAUGACCGACGAAUACAGCGACGCGUUCCCUCCAAAGCCCAUGCUCUGGAACAGCACGGGCGCGUAGAACAAUAUGGAGUUGAUCCCCGUGAGUAUCUGAAACGUCGGCAUGAAUAUCGCCAUCACGAGUUGUGGCCGGUUCCUCGCUUCUAGAAUGUUUCUGAUAUAAAACAACUGGUUACUCUAAAAACUUCGCUAGAUUUCUUAUGAUGUCGUGUAAAAUAACUGGUUAUUCUUGAAGCUUAGGCUGAUAGAGAGCGAUGCAUGACUAUUUAUUUUGUAGCAGCGAACACCUGAAAGGGUGCUUGAUGGAGUUUGCGAGCUCGCUCGCCUCGAUCAUGUCUUGGAACUCAGCCUCCACAUCGGCAGUGCCUCUGAUCCGUUCUAGGAUGCGGCGUCCCUCCUCGACACGGCCCUGCUCGAUGAGGCUGUUGGGGGUCUCCGGGAGGAGGAAGCCGCCGACGGUCAUCAGAAAAGCCGGGGCAGCCGCAAGGCCUAGGGAGAGACGCCACCCCCACGGCUUGAUCUUCCCGGUGCCGUAGUUGAUCAUGUUCGCGGUGAAGAUGCCGAGGGUGGUCGCGAGCUGGAACAUCAUGUUCAGGCCGCCACGAAGGUGCGCCGGUGCCAUCUCCGACAAGUAGAGUGGGACGGCCUUCAGAAAUCAAGGAAACACAUAGUUACGUGAUAAAUCUCAUGAAACGCACGUAACGAAUUUUCUAUUCAUCGCUGACAUGACUUAGCCAGACCGACUUCUGAAAUUUCUAUUCAAAUCAAAGAUUAAAAUAAGUUUUAUAUUGUUGAAGAAAUAAAGUCAUGUCAGUAGUGAGUAGAAAAUUUCUGCUAUGAUGCACAAAUAGUACCUGGUUACCGAAGCCAAUGCCGACGCCGAGCAUGAUGCGGCCCAGGAGCAGCAUGGCGAGGUUGGCGGCGGCGGCGUUGAGGGUGGCGCCGAUGAGGAAGCUGAUGCCGCCGCAGAUGAUGCUGACUCUGCGGCCGUACUUUCGGGUGACGGGGGAGGCGCCGAUGGAAGCGACGAGGCCGGCAAGAUAAAGAGAGGACGUGAAGGCGGCGAGGCCCUGGUUGUCGUACUUGCAGUAGUUGUUCUGGCUGCCGGAGUUUUUCCGGCGGUAGACCACCGGAAAGAACUUCUCCAGAAAUGGGUCCAUGGAUGUCACCCCGCCUUGCAGUAGUUCAAAUCAAAGUCAAAUGUUAGAUUAGAAAAAGAAAAAAAAAUAGUAAAUUUGAAUGUGAAUUAAAUUUGAUUUGCAUACAUGCAUGGAUGUAAAACUAUCACGUUUGUUCAUUCAUGUGAAAAUUUAAAAGUAUAAAGAGAUUUCUAAAUAUCUCUGCUUCUCUUUAUAAAUAUCUCUGCUAUAUAUAGAUACGAGAAAUUUUUCUUCAAAAGCUUAACGUAUCGACAAUAUGAUGAGAUUCGAAAUUAGACCAUCCUACUUUUAAUGUCAUAUCAAAUUAUAUGAAUAUUUAUUUUUCUUCAUAGGUUUAAGUUGCUGAAGAACGAUAUUUUUCAUAUAUAUAUAUAUAUAUAUAUAGAAUUAGGCUACUAUACUAUUAAUAGCACCAAGUUAUUGGUGCUACCAAGUUUUUGACCAUUGGAUUAAAAAAUGUGUGGCUAGGAUGAUGUGGGCCCCCAAGGGUUAAGUGGAUGGUUGGUUGAAUAGUAUGAUCUAACGGGUGAAAAUAAUCAAAAGGGUAGAUCUAACGGUAAAAAACUUGAUAGCACCAAAUACUUCGUGCUAUUAAUAGCAUACCAGCCGGACUAUAUAUAUAUAUAUAUAUAUAUAUAUAUAUAUAUAUAUAUAUAUAUAUAUUAUAUAUAUAUAUAUAUAUAUAUAUAUAUUCAGUAUGUUUUGGAUCAUCCAUAUAUACAUAUAUAUUAUUCGGUCUAAAUUUAUGGAUCUGAAAUUUUAGUUUGAGAAAUUUCUAAUAGAUUUUAUGAUAUCAUUGGCGUCAACCAUUAAUUCCAAAAGUUCGAGCUGUUAGAAAAAUAUGACUAAUUCACUUAAAGCGUAUAAACAUAGCGUCUACGAGUUUGGACUGUGACUCAGCUCAACCAACCUCUAGCUAUUUCGAACAUGACUUGGUCCAAUCCGACCUUCCGUAAUUUCGAACGUGACUUGACCUAAUCUGGCCUCUCGCCACAGGGCAAAAUGUUGGCUCUCUUAAACUAAGAGGUAUGUUAUAUGAAAAUAAAAAUUAAAGUACCUAUAAAAUUAAACGAGAUUGUUUACUUCCACUUUAUUUCUAGGGAUGGGGCAUCGCUAUUGAUAAUCGGGACGUUAAACACAAUUUAGACUAAUUGAACUUCAUAUAAACCAAAUAUUAUAAAGUUUAAGAUAUCAGUUAUCUAGUGAUCAAGAGAUAUUAAAUCGACCUUAUAUUAUUAGCCAUUAAAGCUUUAUAUGGAUGUCGGAAUAAAAUAUCAAAUAAUUAUUUAUUCAAUAUAAAAUAAUUUUUUAUAUGAUUGGAAGUAAGUAGUUUAAUUUUUUAUUUUUUAAAAAAUUUUGAUUUUAAAAAAUAACAUAUUUCACCGGCGAGACGAUUUAUAUUAUUCUAAAAAUAUAAAAUAAAAAUCAAAUAUUACAUUCAUUUUAGAUAUUUGAUUAUAUUUCUUAUUUACCAAAUACUACACAUAUUUUGAGUAAAUCUAAAAAUCAUACAAGAUAAGAUGUUUAUACAUCCAUGUGUGACAAAAAACGAUUAAUUUUGAAACCACUCGAUUAUUAAGCAAAUAUUGUGGAGAAAACUAGCUGUCUCAUUAAAAUAUCGAGCCGAAAAAUUCAACUCGUGCUCGGCUCGUUAAUAAACAAGCCGGACACGAGUUGGCCAACAAAUAAUAAGUUAAAUGGAUUAGAUUAAAUAUAUAUAAAAAAUAAAUUUAUAAAAUCUUACCAUUAGACUUUGAUCUAGUGGUUGAAAUUUUACAUACAAAUGAGUCUUUUAACUCGAUUUUAUAUUUUUUGCAAAAAAUUAAAUAAUAAAAAUAUAUAUAUAUAUAUAUUAUAUAUAAUUAUUUAUUUAUAUAUAUAAAUAUAAAUUAAAUAAAUUAUAUAAAUAUAAAAUAUAUGUAUUCGAGCUGUUAUUGAGCCAAACACGAGCAAGUUGACACCGGCUCGUAUUCGGCUCGUUUAUUAAACAAGCUGAAAAAUUCAGCUUGUUUUUGGCUCAUUUACUAAACGAGCAAUUCGAUUUCGAGCUCACUUCAAGCCAAAUACGAGUUGGCUCGCGAACAACGAGCUGGAUUGUUACCCUACUCCUAACCUGGUGGCUGGAGUGGGUGUAGAAAAUAUUCUCUAAUCUUGCAACUUUUUUUUUACUAUUAUUCAAAAACGCACACCUUAUGCAUUACACCUAAAAUUUGAUAAUUAGUAUGUGAAAUUAAAAUCUUAUUAAUUUCUAAAAUCACCAGUAGAGAUAGAUCCACUGUUUGAUUUAUAAAAAAAUUACUAUUCAAACUUUAUCUGUACUGUAUUAUUAUUAUUGCUAAUAUGGCAACAAUAUUGGAAACAACCAAAUUUAAAUAAUUAGAAAAGGUUUAGAACUGAAUUGCGAUAUUAGAAGGUUAGGGAUUCAAUUGAAACUUAAGUAAAAGAUUAGAGACCUCCAUUUAGUUUAAUUUAGUUUAAGGAAUAGCAGUGCUGUUGAAAAAAAAUAUUGUAGAAAAUAACACUGUACUAUUAAAAAAGUUGUAGAACAUUUGGCUAUUUUUGUAAAAAUAUUAUGGAAAUUAAGUUGUUUGGUGAUAACUGUAAUAAUAAUUAUUAUAAACUAGUAAAAAAUGUAUUAAAAAAUAUAAAUUUAAUUUAGUGGUCCGAUUAGUUAUUUUCUAACAACAAUUUAAAAUUAAAAUUUAAAUGCAUUGGAGUUUAAAUUUGAAAUUAAAAAAUUAAUUUUAUAUCUAAAUUGAAUUUAAAAUCGAAAUUCAGAUUCACAUAUAUAUUUGAAAUUCAAAAUAAAAAAUUAAAAUUAAAAAUAGAAAUAAAAUUUAAAUUCCAAAAUAAAAUACUUAAAUUUAAAAUUUGAAUCCAAAAUAAAAAUUUACAUUUAAAAUUUGAAUCCAAAAUCAAAAAUUACAUUUAAAAUUUGAAUCCAAAAUCAAAUUUAAUAAACUUCAAAAUCAGAAUUUUAAUUUGAAAUUAGUAUAUAUCAAAUUUAAAUUAAAAAUAUUUAACAAUAAAUUUUAAAAUUUAAUUUAAUAUGUGAUUUAGUUUUAGAAUUUAAGUAUAAAUAUAAAUAUAAAUUUUAUUAAUUUUAGAUUAAAAAAAACAAACUUCUCAAAAAUAAAUUGGGGAACAAGAUAAAAAAAAACUUGUAAAUAUUGUGGACAAACAUUAUUAUUAAUCUAAAUUUCUACCGUAAAACAAGAAUUUAAGUUCCUAUCAGUACAAGCUAUAUCUAAUAUGCCGUAUCGCGCCAACAAAAUAUUACACAAUAUAGUCUCUGUGCCGAUAGCACAGCUCAAAACUUUUUAUUCCUUAAAUUAGUAGGUAGUUUUCUCAAUAAAAUUCAAAAUAUUUGAUAAAAAUAUAUAAUAAAUAGUUAUAAUAUUUUAUUACGAAAGAAAAUGAAUAUUUCAUGUUAUUAUAUAUCGGCAUACAUAUAUUUUUGAUGACCGAUACACAUCGAUACGGUCCAACACGCACCAUAUCGUGACUUGCCAGAAAAUUUAUAGCAUAACUCUAUAUCACGGCACUUAAAUUUUUGCUGUAAAAGCUCUGGCAAUAGAGCAUCUAGGAUCGAAAGGCGGUAGGGUGGAGAACGCAAUUUUUUAUAUUCACUCUCUCCGCCAAAUGCUCUCCAUUGGAGAAUAGUCCAUUGAAGUCAGGCCAAACAGGUACUUAGAAAGUCUUAGAACGUUUUUAAAAUGCAAAGCAUUUUCCAUUAAGAAAAUAGGUCAGGUAUAUGAGAGUCAGAGUGACUAUCUCAUGCUAACCACUAGUGGCUAAAAAUUAAAAAUGAUCUCAUUUUGUCACACAUUAAAGAUGCUAGAUCUUUUGUCUUUUUCCUUGCUUCCUUAAGUAAUUUUGCCUAUGUGACUUACUAAUUACUAGUAGAUAUAUUAAUGUACAUCUCAUCAGUUGUGUACUACACUAAUUUAUAUCUUUUAAUAUUUAAAUUUGCAGUUUCCAUUCAACCAUUCUAAGUCAAAUGUAUUUGUUUAAACAUGUAACAUCUAAAUGGCUUAGAUUUAAAGAUAUGAUGACAUUAAAAAACGAUGAGUUUGGAGCAAUUGCUUAUAUAUCUCUGAAAAAUUUUCGACUUUCUAAUUUACCUCUCUUAAAAGGUUAAUAUUAAAAAUACCAUUUUUACAUUCCAAAUUAUAAAGUUAAAUUCAAUUAGCAAUAGCCGUUAUACCUAUGAAAUUACUAUUUUACCCUUUCAAAUAUACACUUCUUCCAUCACUAAUUUUUCUUAUUUGUCUAAGUUAGAGGUAAAUUUUGUUAGCAAUAGCAGUUAUCUCUGUGAAAUUACUACUUUGCCCUAAAAAGUAUUUUAAUUUUUGAUCUUUUCAAAUAUACUAAAUUUUUUUAUUUGCUCUUAAGUUAAGAAUAAAAGAGGUAUAUUGAUUAUUUUUUAACUCUUGCUAGAAAUUUAACUCACGAAAUAACUUAACGGGUGGUAACUAUAGGAGUAUUUUUGAAUAACGAAAAAAUAUAUAAGAAAUAUAUUGGAAACAAAAAAAAUAAAAAUAAAUUAGAUAUUUUUGAAAUUUUAAGAAAUAUAUAUAUAGAGAAUUAUUCCUUGAAAUUAUCUAGAAGCCAAAUCGCUUGUGGUAAGAUAUCCUCCCAAAGUUAAUCCGAAGUGUGCGUAAAUUUGAGGUUGACCCUCGAAUUUUAUAUAAUUAAGUUUCGGGAUUUUAUGAUUUUCUUUUUUUAUUAUUUUGGACUCUGAAACCCAUGGACUGUUUAAAACUUAAUUAAAAUGAAAAAUUAAAAUGAGGCUCGCAUUUACAUGCUACAUGUCACUUUGGGGUGAAUUCAAAGAGUUGACGAGUCCCUUCCCUUCAAAAUAAUUACUAGUUUUAAACAUAUAAUUUUGACAGAUUUUUUAAAUUUCUAAAUUCAAAAAGAAAAAGCUUUUUCUUUUCAUUGGAAGCUCGAAUAAAUGAGGAAAGAGAGCAUUCCGAGGGUGUUUGGUUUCUCAAAAAAUUCUAUAAAAUUAUAUUUUGCAAAAAAAAUAACUUUUUUUUUUAAUAAUUUUUGUUCUCCAGAUAAAAAAUCUAAAAAAUAAAAAUAAAACUUUUUCAUAAACUCAAAAGAAUUCUAAAAAACUAUUCUUUAAAAAAAACUAAACAACCUUUUCAACUGAAAAUACCUACUCUUUAAAAGGCUCCACAAGUACCAAUGUUUAUUACCACCAAUUAAUGAGCUUAAAAAAAUAAUAACAACCAUAAUUAAUGUGUACAGAGUGAAAGAUUUUAGAACGUAGUUAUACUGGUGAUAAGACUGUCUCCAACCAAUCAAAUGAAUCUUUUUUUAGUUAAUCUAUAAUAUUAUAAUUAUAUAAAAAUAUUUUUAUUAUAUAUAUAUUUUUAAAAGGAGUGAUGCGAUCGAUUUAUUAUUACUGAUGUAGUUUAAGUGCGUGCAAUUCUUAAAACUAAUGGAAAAGUAAAAAACGAAAAAUAAAAAAGCAGCGAUUGUGUCAUUGUGACAACCAUAAACCGCCAAACUCAAGGAAGUCUGUCGCACUAAUGCGACAGUAACGUCUACCCCCAAGCGCACUCCGUUCACACCACCUACCUCUAUAAAAAUAUCCCCAAUUAUUCAGAAUCUAAAAUUUAGUUCUUUACAUCAAUUAAAGAACUCUUAUCUUAUAAUGAAUGAUGCAUUUUACUAUCCGUGCUGCUUGAAGAUUCGAAUUUUUUCUUUGUUUUUUUUUUUUUUUUGUAGAUUAAUUAAAGGGAAGUAGGUAGGUAGGUACCAGAUAUGCCGAUGUCGUAGCCGAAGAUGGAGCCUCCGACGGCGGCGACGAUGCAGGCCAUGACGACGAACGGCGUCACCCGCCCUUUGUACUGCGCCGCCCGCUCCUUCUUGAUUCCGAUCGGCGCGGCCCCUCCGCCCGCCAUCUCUUCUUCUUCUUCUUCUCCUCCCCUUCACCAAAAAUUCUCAACAAACCCAAUUAAACUCGAUCUCUAGCUAAUUAACACUCACUACAAAUUAAUAACAAGUAUACGUGUAUAUAUAUAUAUAAAGCUGGAUAUAUCAUGAACUAAUAAUUAAGAACUCUCGUUGACCCAGCUUUUUUUUUUUUUUCCCUGGCUUUCUCUCUCUUCUCUUGAAUAUAUAUAUAUAUAUAUAUAUAUAUNGGGGUGAGAGAGAGAGAGAGAGAGAGAGAGAGAGAGAGAGGGGGAGGAGAGCAUUAAAUAGCGAUCGAGUAAGUUGGGAACGCAGAGCACAUGGACAAUUCCGGCUUUGUCCGGCUGUUGGCCUUUUUCUUUUUCCUUUUAAGUUGGAUUUUUUUAAAAAAUAAAAACUCAGAAGUGGGAUGUGGAAUUGUGGAUGAGAAGGAGACGUCACCCACAGCAAAUUAAGCACGGAAAGGUGUAUAAUAUACACUCUCUUGUUCUAACAUAUAGAAAACAAGUUUUUCUUAAUAAAAAUUUAGGUAAACUUCAAAUGCUAUCAUGUGAUUUCGCACUUUUCUAUUUUAAUAUUUUAUAAUAAUUUAAAGUGUACCAAAUUUAUAUCACGUGGUUUCAUUUUUAUCUUUUCGUCAGCUUUUUCGUUAAUAUUUCGUUAAAUUAUAUACAAAAAAUUUCAGAUACUCCAUCUAAAUUUAUUGAAUAUUUACUUUAGCACCUUUUAGUUUUAACUUGUCACUGAUUUAACGAAAAUAAUUAGUGAAAUCGAUAAUAAAAUGAUAAAAAUAAAAUCACAGAGCACUAAAUUGAUACACUUUAAACCAUAAAAUACUGAAGUGAAAAAAUGUGUACGUAACUACAGAAGUGGUAUUCGAAGUUUUCCCUAAAAGCUUGUUUGUGGAUCUCUUUACAUGCAACCAAAUACUCAGAGAAAGCGAAAUGAAUUAGAUUUUUUUUUUUUCCUCCUCUAUGGUAUAUUAUUGGUUGGAAUAAAUGGCGUUCGAGCCUUAAUAAAAUUUUAUAUAUAGCAUUGGAGGAGGCAUCAAUCCCAUAUAACCAUUUUGGGUUAAAUAUUUUAUAAUUAUCAAAACUUUCGUCGGGUUACAGGAAACCACCUAAUAUUUUAAAAGUUCAUAUGUACAGUCCGAAGUUUUAAAAUAUUAUAAUUAGUUCAUACUUCAUCAAUCUAAAGUGAUCAAUAUUAGCCAAUCACACAAGAAAUAACAAAAAAUACAUACCAGUGAUAUAGAUAAGCUUUUUUAUAUCAAAUAUAAUUGCUUUUUUUUUUUUUUUUUUUUAGAGAGAGAGAUUAAAAAAAAUGCUAAAUUAUAGAAAACUCUCAUGUCAAAAUUCGAUUUUUCACUUUUUCCCCCCUGUCAUUUAAAAACUUACAGUUUGCCCCCUUGUGAAAUAAAAAAUAUUCAUUUUACCCCCUACCGUCAGUGAUCCGUUAGGAUUCCGUUAUAAAAUAUUUUUUAUGCCAAAAAUACCCUCCGCCUUCUCUAUUGUGUUUCGCCCUCUUCCGCCUCACCGCCUCGCCCUCCUCCGCCUCACCGCCUCGCCCUCCUCCACUGUCUCGCCCUCGCCCACAUCUCCGUCCGCGCCCACAAACACCCUUCGCCCUCCUCUGCCGCCUCGCCUUCGCCCUCGUUGCCCUUGCCCACCUUUCCAUCCAUGCCCACCUCGAUCGAUUUCCUCUCCACUGUCGCCGAAAUGGAGGGGCGACGAGGGUGCAGGAGGAGAAGGGAAGCAGGUGGAGAAGAAAAUGGAGAGGAACAGCGACUGAUCGAGACGCGAAUCGCGGCUGAUCGAGGCGGCGGAUGAACAAGAUGAGAGAGGAGACGAAAAUGAUGAGGGGCAAAAUAAUCAUUUUAUCAUCACAGUUCACACAGUACCCCCUGUGAAUAUUUUUAUUUUACAAUAAGGCAAAAUAUAAGUUUUUAAAUGACAGAAGAAAAAAGUGAAAAAUAAAAUUUUGACAAGAAAAUUUUAUAUAAUUUAGCCGGAAAAAAAGGGGUAGAAAUAAGAUACUAGUAGGCCCACUGACAUUUGCUAUCAAUAUCACCCAUGUCUUUCUUUAUCUUCCAAUCUCUAUCACCCCCAGAAUUCAAACUCAAUCUAUGCACAUCAGUUUGCCAAGUAAUUCAAAAAACAACCAAAGCCACAAAUUAGAAUUUAAGCAUACUUGGCAAAAUGAGGAGCAUCAAUUACUUCAAGUACUUAAUAUGCAUCUAAUAAAAUGAAGAAUUUCUGUUCUCAACGAUUGUGCCUAGCGUAGUUGGCCAAGACAGAAGUCCAAUUGUUUUACAUUUAUCGUUCUCUUUCAAUAAAAAAAAAAAAAAAAAUCUAAUCUCUCCUCUUGUCUACAUUUAAUUUGAGAAAGCAUCUGCAAAGUCAAUGAGUCGGUUUCGCAACAACAAUUUUAACAGUAAACUAGCAGAAGUUAGCUCCAAGGGUAUAAGAAAGAACUUAGAACUUUAAACGGACAGAUUUCAUUACUUUACGUGAAAAAGAAUUCGGAAACUAAGUCAAUAGUUAUUCUAGCAUGCAUUUUGCCCCAAGAAUUUGAAAACAAGGGCAAAAGAGGAGCACCCCACAGAGAAUAAUAUUCUGUACUUUUUUUAAGGAUUAAUUUCAUAUAGGUCCCUCAAAAUAUAAUGAAUUACAAAUGUAUCCCUAUAAAGUUCAAUUUUUAUAUGUUGAUUUUACAAAAAUCCUAAUUUUUCAAAUAUAUCCUUGUCGUUAUGAUUCGUUAGAAAAAAUUAAUUAACCAUAGGUAAAUUAAGGUUUAAAGUGCCGUGGCACGGGGGCGUGCUGCUAUCUACCUGACACGGUACGGCGCCGGCACGCUUCCAUACCGACCAUGAUACGCUUGUGUGGCGAUGGAUAUAUACGACCUUCUACUGGUACGCUUUGGCAUGGACUUAUUUCAGUUUUUUUAGUUUCAAUAAGCUCUUAUAAUAUUAUUUGAAAAGAUUUAAUCAAAUAAUUAUAAAUAUUUGUUAUAUAUAACUUACUAUACUCAUUAAUUAAUAUAUUUGUAAAUUUUUUUGUAUGUAAAGUAUAAUUAUAUCUGAUACAGAAUAGAAAUUUUUAUAUGUUAAAUUUUUAAAAUGUAAAGACAUUUUUUUUUCUUUUUUUCUUUUAACCAUAUUACAGUUUUUCUUUUAUAAAAUACAAAAAAAAAAAUUUAAAAAUUAUUUUUAAAAAUUAUUUUAAAAAGUAUUUGAAAAAAAUUAUUUUUUUAAUUAAUUUUAAAAAAAUUAGUAGAUCUAUCAAAAAAAUUAAGUAAUAUGGUUUAAGCAUCAAUUGAUUUAAUUUAACUUUUAAUUUUUUCAGUAAUUUUAAUUUUCUAGCGCAAAAAUAAAAUUUUAUAUUUGAUGUGACUCAAAAUUUGUUUAUUGAGUUCGAUUUUGUUCCCUUAAUUCGCCUUAUUUGUGAAGAAAAAAUACAUAUCUGUGGUGAAAGCGGAGGGUUCAGACAAAUUUUUUGUCCGUAUAUUGAUAAACAAAAAAAAAUUAAAUUAUAACUUUUUUAACUUACCUAAUAAGUAAAUUUUAAUUUGCAAUAUCUUUGGGGGACGUAGAGUACCCAGAAUGUUUUGAAUAUCCCAAAGAACAAAAUAAAAAAAAAUAUUAAAAAAAAAGUAAAAAAAAUAUUAGCACAGUGCCGUGCCGGCACUGUGCCGUGGCACGCUGCCUCGUGCCACUCUGUCUCGUGCGGCACAGCGCUGUGUACUGCAACACGGAGGGGGGUCCGUGACCCCUACCCUCCUGUACCGUGCCACCUUCUUGGUGGCACAGAACGCACCGCCCCGUGCCGUACCACACGGUACAACACUUUAAACCUUGGGUAAAAUACUUAAUCCUUGCUAGUUAAUGAGGUGUACCUCUUCACCCCUUUUCAAUUAACAGUUGAGACUUUUGGAAGGUCAUAUUUGUGAUGGCAAAAAAGUCAUUUCACUUAUAAAAUAAACAGUUCUUUAAUGAUAACAAAUAUUUGAAAGUAUUAAGAUUUUUAUAAGGACAACAUAUAAAAAUUAAACUUUGUAAGAAUAUAUUUGUAAUUUAUUAAGUUUACAGAGAUCUGUAUAAAAUUAACUUUUUUUUAAAUAUUGCUCCUCUUUCCAAACCAUAGAAAGUGACUGGUUUGAAUGUUUUGUAGGCAUUUGACUUCAUUAGUAUAUUUGGUAGAUUCAUUGUUAGAAAUUCUCCUUAAAAUGGAUAGAAAAAGCCCCAAGUUACCAUAAAAGAAUAUAUGGUUUACAGCUGAUCCAGCAAUGCUUUUAUUAAUUAAUUAGACUAGCAUGUGGAGAUUGUUGAGCCCAGGAAGUAUGCGAAGAGACUUAUUCUACACAUCACUACUCUCUCUCUCUCUACUUAUACUAGAACAUAUUGUAAUGAAUUUAUUAUGGCAAAAGUGAGAGAUGAGUUUAUUAAAGUCGAAGAUGAAGAACAAAAUCGCACACCAGGUUUAAGUCCACGGAGGGUCACUUAAUUCCUAUAGUAGUAUGAUCAACAUCAAUGAUUCGGUCGAUCAGAUUAUUUGGAUGCAUAAACAUCUCUAUUAUCGAGUUGAGCUCUUGUGCUUUUCAAUAAGCUCAUGAGUUUAACGUAUUUAUAAUUUGUUAAUCUUCGGAUGGCCUCAAAAUCUGUGCAAACUACUAGUAAAUGAGACUUACUGGUACACACCGUUAAUAGCACUGAAUGAAUCUUGAAACGAUCCGGUGGCUGAAAGGUUACAAGCACAAAUGCUUCUGUACUUUCAAAAGCACAUGAGCUCAAUUCUCUUUUAACAAAUUCAUUUUGUUUGCUCGAAAGAGUUGCUUGAUAGAAUGUAUAAAAAAAAGUACACAAGCGUAUAAUACAUUUCUAAGUGUUUUUUUUCCCUCAAAAAUACGAUAAAUUAGUUCAUAGGUUGAACACUUAUUGUGGAAGAUCAAGUUUAACCUCUUAUUUUGUAAUUACAAUAAAAAAAAAAUCUCACAUAUUGCAAUUUUAGUGGAUUAUAGGGGUGGAAACGAGCCGAGCUCGAGCGAGCUUACCUUGGCUCAAAUUCGGCUUGAAAUUAAUUUCGAGCAUAAAUUUAAGCUCAAGCUUGGAUUGAAAUUAAUUCGAGCUGAGCUCGAGCGAGCCUAAUUUCGAGUCGAACGAGCUCGAGCCCUAAACGAGUCGCUUGAAAUUCUCAACAUCAUACGAUCAAUAGUUUAAUUUGUAUAGAAUAUUAUCUAUAAUUUGAUACAAAAAUAUAUCUAAUAGUUUAAAGUACAAAAUAAUUAUAUAAAAUAUAGUAUUAUAAUAUGAAGAAAAAUAAUUUAUGAGUUGAAUACUUAAUCUUUUCAGGCUCACAUGUCUUCUCUUCCGCAUUCAAUUUUCAUAUUAUUCAUUUUUAUUUAUGCAAUCAAAAAUAAAUAAAUUAUAUAAAUAAAUAUUGGAUUAAACUAUCCAAUUAUAUAUAACUAAAAUUAAAAUUUUAUAUAAAUAAUAACUUUUUACUUUAAAAAUAUUCUGUAUAUUUUCUCAAGCAUACAAUUAAUAGAAAGGUAAGCAACGACGGGCAUAUACUGUUUUUUUUUUUAGAGAUAGGUAGCACGCUACCCGCUUCGUUUAUUUCAUUUAGAAAUAAACUUAACUGAAAAUAUGAAUCAACUAGGAUUCGAACUUGGGUCUCAGGUACCAACCAUCAAGCCCUUUGCCACUUGCUCUACGGCGAGCAUAUACUAUUAUUUGGUAACUUGAAGGGCUUCCAGCUUGGCUACUUAGGGUGAGAGACAGGAAAAAAGAAAGAGAAAAACAUAUUGAAAUUUUAGAACUCUGUGAAAGAAAGAAAGAAAAUAAAAAUGUAUAAAUUUAAUGAAAUUUUGCUCUUUUAUUUGUCGAUUGGAUUUGUUUUUAUGGGCCAACAACAUUGGUUCAAUUUUAACUAAACUCAGGUUAACCACCCACUCAAUCUUAGAGGACCAUUAUCAUUCUAAUUGCGCAUCUUUUCAUCCAACGGCCAAAAACUCAAUAGUACCAAGGACUUGAUACUAUUGAUAGUAUAGCAGCAUAAUUCUAUAUAUAUAUAAAAUAUAUAUAUUAUAUAUAUAUAUAAUAUUAUAUAUAAUAUAAUAUAUAUAUAGCGAGAGAGAGAGAAAGGAGAAGAUGGAUGAGAAGAGAGAGAGAGAAGUGGUGAUCUACUAUGUACGAAGCACGCGAGUGGCUACCUGUUCCACCUGUUUUUCGAAUGUUUGCGUACUUUCACAUCGAUCGAUCUGCCUCCUGUUAAACUUGAUCUAGAGUAUUUGAAGUACCCUUAGAAAAUAAAUUUUAUAUUUUACGAUAUAUUUUGCCUACUUGAAUCGAACGGGACUCAAAAUAACGGCUGAGGAAAUAAAAAUAGACCCAAAUAUAAUAAUAUGACAUAAAUUUUAAAUCAAAGAUAUGUUGAUCUUUUUUUAUUAUAUAAAAAUUUCUAUCAAAUUUCACGUGAUUGGAUUAUUUAUACACCGUUUAAACUUGCAAACGGCUCACUUACGGCCAUUGAAUUUUGUUGAUUUGUGAGCACUUCAUCAUAAGUACAUGAUAUCGAAAAAAUAUAAAAUUAAUUUUUACGUUACGUCUAACAUAUCUAGAGUCAAUUUAAACGGAAGCUCGCGACGAUUUGAAAGUCGCCAACAUUUGAAACGAGAUGGAAGCACGGAAGACUCCGUGCUUCCGAUAGAUAUGUGCCCACUCUAUUAUAUAUAUAUAUAUAAUAUAUAUAUAUAUAUAUAUAGUGUAGAACUACUAUUCUAUAUAUGUAGAACUAUUAUGCUAUCGAAAAUAUAGAGGAUUUGAUGUUUCCGAAUUUUUGACUCUUUGAUUAAAAAUUGUAUGGUUGGGAUGAUUGCGGUCCCCCCUAAGAUUAAAUAAUACCCCUAUGAUUGAGUGGUCCCUGCAAGGUAAUAAUAGUAUUAAUCCAAAGAUAAGAAAUGAUUAAAGGGGUUGAUCUAAGAAUCAAAAAAUCGAAAGCACCAAAUCCUCUAUACUUUCGAUAACAUAGUAGCUCUACUAUAUAUAUAUAUAUAUAUAUAGAAUUAGGCUGGAAUACUAUUAAUAGUAAAACGCUCUUUUUGCUAUCAAGUUUUUAACCCAUUGGAUGAAAAAUUGUAGGAUCAGGAUGAUAUUAGUCGGUUAGAGUUGAGUGGUCCCCCUAGGGUUGAGUGGUCCCCACUGGGUUAUAGUAUUUAAUCCAAUGGUUAGAAAUAAUGAAAAGAGCUGAUCCAAAGGCUAAAAAACUGAUAGCAACAAUGGUAUAUUCGAGCAUUUCGAGCUUUUCGAGCCUAAUUCGAACGAGCCGAGUAAUACUCAAGCUUGGCUUGAAAUGAAUUUCAAGUCUUUUUUUUUUGUUCAAGCUCGACUUAUUUAAUUUCGAGUCGAGCUCGAGCGAGCCAAAUAUCGAGUCGAAUGCGAGUCGAACGCGAACCGGCUUGCUCAUUUGCCAGCCCUAGUGGAUUACCUGUUCCGAUAACCAAACAGGCCCUGAGAUGAAUAUAGACUAACAAAUUAUAAGGCCUGUAUAUAUGCAUGUAGAAAUUAUUAAAGCAUGUAAUAACUAAGCUAUAUAAUAACUUUGAUUACAUGACUUAUUAGAGCAACAUUUUAUAAUUGUCUAUAACUGAUUUAAUAUUUGAAUAAUUGUCUUAUAUUACUAGAAUUUUUCUUUCCUUUGAGCCGUAUAGUCUGUAAUAUUUAAAAAGGCUUAAUCUUCUAUUGAAUAUGAUCAAGCCUUAAGCAUACAUGCUUUAAGAGUCCGGCUAUUACACUCUUAUAAGUACAAUCACUUUCAUACUUACAAAUCGUUUUUUAUAAUAUAGCUUCCAAAUCGACGGUCCAUACCGUUAAUCAUUAUCUAGAUCAUUCGAAACUUCUAGAAAUCAAAUUUUAUAAUUUUUUAACAUCAUUUACCUUACGAUCAGAAGAUCUUAAAAUUAAUAAUUUUUAACAAUCGGUAUAGAAUACUUGCUAGUUUAACGGUGUAAAAAAAAACGAAAUCAAUUGAAUUUUUGAUAGAAAAUUCUAUUAACUAUCUAGAUAAAGAUCAAUAACUCCGAUCUUAAAUUGAAGUAUAUAAUCCUUUAUUUUUAGAAAGUCGUUUAAUUUUGAUUGUUCAUUUUAUGCCCGCUUGAUGAACUUUACUAUAAUUUUAAAAAAAUUAUGAAAUUUAUUUUCUAUAAAUUUUAAACGCACUAGAUUAUAUUUAACGGUAUGGAUCAUCAAUUCGAAAACUCUUUUAUUAAAAAUAACUUAUCGUACGAAGGGCUUUAUACUCAUAAGAGUAUAAUAGUCCUACUCCAAACUUUAAUUUCACGACAUUAGAGCCUACUAAAUAAUACAAAACAACUGUUAUUCUCUAAAAUAUAUUUAAUAUUUAACACCCCCCACACUCGGGAUCGAGACUUUUUGACGAGCCAAUAACGUGGACUUGAAUUAAAUAGGAGGAAAUAAAUUAUAUUAGGAGUUAGAUGUGACUCGAACUCAGAAUCUCUUGCUGUGAUAUCAUAUUAAAUAAUACGAAAUAACCGUUAUCCUUAAAAAAUUUAAACUAGUAAAGAACGUAUUUUUAUAUUUUUAUAUUUUUAUAUUUAACGGAGCCGAAGCAGCCAAAAAAUUCUAUUCAA